GAUCCACCACCUGAAUUCUUGCAUUUCCUCUAAUCACAUACAGGGCACUAUGUGCAUUGAUAUUCCAGUGUGGUGCAAAAAUGGCAUUCUGCAAUUACCAAACAACAAACUCAAUCACUCAUUUCACGUAACAAAAUUUAUGUAUUAAUGCUAUUGUGUUUGCUUACGCUGUAGAGGAAUCCUCUUUCUGCACUAAGUUGGAGGCUGCUGAGGAUAGGAAUCUUUUGGCUAUUAACAGUGGUAAUGCGGCCAGCACGAGGAUUGAAUACAUCAGCCUCUUGGGGGAGGCCAAUGUUUUCACUAAGCUUCACCGUGCACAAAGUUUCCUCAAGUCCAUUGGAUCUCCAUCCUCUUCCAACACCCUGUUGUUGCUGCUCCUGCUGUUGUUGGGGUUGUUGCUCUUGCUCACUAUAUUCAGGCAGGAACAGUUGAAGUUUUUCAGCUCGGACUGUGCUACCCCUUUUAUCUUUCGGACCCUUCAAUUUCUGUAUUAUUUUGAGGUCAACAUUGAAAGCAUCAGCCAAAAGUUGGUCAUCAAAUCCUGAGAAGAUGUUUCUAUGCUGCUGCUGCUGGCCUUGAUGGCCUUCCUUUCCACCACCCUGUUGCGGGUUUCCGGCUAGGAAAAAUUUCUGAAAGUAAAAAAAAAUUUUUUUUAUUAAGAUGGUACCGCAAUAAAAUAUGCCCAGAAAGAGAUUAUUUUUUGAUUAAUACUUGGCAAGUUUGGAAUGAUAGUUUUCUUACCCUGGACUGCAAAUCAAGCUGAUUAGCCUCAUUGGCAACAUCAAGAAGUGCGACAGUGACAAGCGGAACAUCUCCAUCAUUAUAUGUCCACUGAGUGAAACCAGGAAGCAAUAUAAGGACAUCUCCUUUUUGGAACCUUCUGAGCUUCUGAUGGCGGUCUGGAAACCUUUGCCUUUGCCCUUCCUGACCACCUUUGGAACCUUCUUGCCCUUUGCCCGGCUGUUCCUGACCACCCGAAAAUGAUUCGCCCUGGGAUUCAAAUGUUUCAGCACAACCAGGGAUCACAGUGCCUUGAACACCGGUACCUGCAUUAUGCCAAAAUGAUUAAAUCAUGAAAAAAAUCAAUUAUACGAUCAUUAAGAAGAAAAUAGAGAAAAACUUCCAGAAAUAAUGGAAAGAUGGGAAAUGAAACUUGCCUUCGACAACGUAGACGAAUUUCGGCACGUUAGAGUAAUGAGGCAAACGAAGGCCCUUAGGUUGGACAGUGUUACGCUCAAAUUCCACACCAGCGCACCCAAAUUCUGGAUUAUUAGAAUCCCAGAAUUCAGUUAAACCAGCCUCUGAUGGGAACCUGAAGGAUGGUUCUUGUGCAUUAAGCUUCUGAAUAUUGCACUGAGUUUUACCCCCGAGCCUUGGCUCUGGUCUCCCUAGUUGAGCCAAACAGCCGAGGAACAAGAGAAGAACGUACGAGGAAAGAGAAAUCAUAUGAGAGUGAGCCAUUCUCUGACAACAGAGGAGAGUGUAGUGUGUUUUUGUGGUGAGGGGAUGCGGCGAUUAGAGCUUGGAAAUGGCUCCUUUUAUAACAUGUAAUGGAAGAUGAGGAAUCGACACGUCAAAAUUUUCAUUUUACACUUGGCUACUCAGUCUUGUGCAUGGCUGAUGAAGAGGAACACUUCUUUACACCAAGGAUGAUGUGUAAGCCUUGGUGGCAAUGAGUUUCUGACAUGUAUUGUUCAAUCCUUUUGUGUUUGUAUUUGCAUGAAAUUUUUGUACUUUAGCAAUGGCAUGGUAAGGUGCAUUAUCUGCUACGAUGGCUUUUGAUGAAUCAAACCCCAAAUCAAACACACAUUCAUCUUGGGAUCUUUCGAGAUGUGAUAUGGAAAGAUGAUCACAACUGCUGCGUAUUACAUCACACCUAUCAUCUUCUGCUUUUAAGUUUCUAGUACCUAUCUAUCUUCAUCGAUUUUUAUUCACCUUUAUUGAAGACAAUUGGUUUUCACUUCUAGGCAAAUGACUGUUGCAGUUCAUAAUUUCAAUGCCUGGAAUAAAUAUCUGUUAAACAAUUACCGUUUCUAGUCUAGUGGCACGUAAUUAAAGGCAUUCUACAGGGAAAUUCCAUGAUUUAAAAUCUUUAUUAGCAAACAAAAGGCAGCCAAUCCAUGUUGGAUCAAACUAAAAGAUAGAGCCAGAAACCCAAUUUGACAUGGAAUAGAGUUUUACGUCUAACAAUUGAAUUGAAUUAUGUUCUUGAAAAGGUUGCUCAUCUACAUCGUUUUCCGCUGUAAUACAUCAAUAAACCAGCUGUAUCGUGACCCAUUGUAUCUGCCGCUUGGGUAGAGGUUAAAUCUCCCUCUAUGCAUUUCCUCUAUCCUUCCCCUUGUAGGUAGGCUUGAACUCCAAAAGAAAAGAGAAAAAAAAAGAAAGUACGAAGUUGAUUCCACUGACAUUUGUAUCAAAUUCAAUAUUUGAGCAAUAAUGAUCAUCAGCUUCUAGAAAUGAUCCAAGUCCAAGCUAUUGAUUCCAGCCUCCCAUAGUGUGUCUGAACAAAUUUCAAGAUGGUGAUAUGAUAGCCAAAUCAUGGACAAAAAAAGUUGCUUGGGAAGACUGUCUUAACCCCAGUUCCAGAGUUAGAUCAAUCAAUGGUUCUCUAAUCUAUUCCAUUCUAACAUUGUUUAGUUGAGUUUUUGUCUAUGUGUAAUUUCAGUUUCAAUUAAUUACUCAACUUUGCAUGUUUAGUGUUAUAAUCAUUAGUGCUUUUGGUACACCGAUGGUGCUCAUUUCAAAAAUAUGUAAUUAAUAAUUUUUAAUAAUCCACUAUUAUAUGUAGAAUCAUGUUAGAGCAUAUAUAUGCUUUUCUCAAAAUUCAUAGAUAUGAUUCUUUUUUGAUUUUUUAGGAAAUUAUUGUACUUAAAAUCAUGGUAAAGAAAUAGAGUGGAAGUGAGCUGAUAUGCUUAAGAUCAUGGUUGGAAGAGGUGGUGGACCCAAAUUGAUAAAUACACAAAACCCACAGAAACAAUAAAAAAAAAACGAUAUUGAGGCACAGGAAAAUUUUCUAUUAAUCAUAACAAGGCUCUGGCUACACUAUGCAAAACACAACGGAGGUUACUACUUCUUCUUAAGGCUAAAAGACGGACGCAACGGCUACACAUCAAAACCCCUUGGCGGCUAACUUCUAUUACUAACUCUGCUAGUCAUAAGAAAUUCAAUCCCAUGGGAUCACCCUACCAACCAACAAUACUACUUACCAAUCCCACAUGACAGCAUAAACAAAUAAUAAAGGCUUGGUUUGUGUUUCUAUAUUGCCUCCAUUAAACCAGUCUCCUCUAACUUGGACAUACCUAACAUAUUCUUCAACUCGACAAAAAUCUCUAUCUUCAAUAUCUUGGUGAAAAAUGUCAGCCGCUUACUAUUUAAUUCUGCAAUAAUCAAUUUCAACCUCUCUCUAUCUCGAACCAACUCACGUGUGAAGUGAUAUUUGAUACCAAUAUGCUUGUUACAUCCAUGAAGUACUAAAUUCUUGGACAACUCAAUAGCUGACUUACUAUCAUAAUAAAUUUUCGUAGGAUCAACCUGCUUGUAUUGUAGAAUACCAAACAUGCAAUGUAACCAUAAAACUUGAUUAGCACUAUUAGCUGCUGCAAUAUACUCUGCCUCCGCUAUAAACAAUGCAAUCACCUGUCGUUUCUUUGAACUCAAGGAAAAUAAGUCAGAACCAAUAAAAAAUGCAUAACUUGAAGUACUCUUCUUCUCUAUUGUAUCACCUGGUCAAUCACUAUCAGUGUAGCCAAACAAUUCAACUGGAUAAUUUUCUGAAUAUAAAAUGCCAACACUGCGAGUACUUUCAAUAUAUUUCAAAAUUCUCUUAACCGCCUGCAAAUGUGACUGACGUGGAUUUUUCAUAAACUUGUUAAUCACACCAACAGCAAAAUUGAUAUCUGGCCUCAUAGACGUCAAAUAUCUCAAAUUUUCUACCAAACUUUUAAAGUAGGUAGGAUUUACAUAUCCAUAACUGUUAUAUUCUUCCUGUCUGCCACUCCAUUUUGUUGGAAAAUGUACCUGGUAGUCAAUUGAUGAUGUAUCACAUUUUUUUCAAAAAAAAUCAUCACACAACAAAUAUUCCUGACCCCUAUUUGUUCUCAAAAUUUUAAUUUGAUACCCACUUUGUCUUUAACAAAAGUUUUUAAAAUUUUAAAAAUAUCACAGGCAUUAUAUUUUUGUUUCAAAAAAUAUACCAAGACUUUUCUACUGAAAUCAUCAAUAAAGGUAAUAAAAUACCUGCAACUACCAUUAGAAGAAACCAUAGUGCACAAGUCUGAGUGAAUAAUUUCCAAUGAUUUUUUGGCCCUCCAUGAUAUGUCAAUCUAAAAAGCAUCCCUCUAUUGCUUUCUCAAAACGCAUAUAUCACAGACUCUAAUAGGAUUUCUAGUAUUAGGCAAUCUACCAACCAUUUUUUUACUGGUCAAAAGUUUGAAAUUGUCAAAAUUCAAAUGGCCAAAUCAUAUAUGCCAUAACUAAUUACUAUCUUUUAUCACCAUAUUCAAACAAAAAAAUUGAUAGAACUCAAAUUCAAUGCAACUAAGCGAUUUGAAAUCAUUGAUACACUAGCAAUUAUUCCAAUAUUUUUUAUAAAAAAUGGUACAAGUACCAUUCGGAUACUAAUAUCAUUUUUUUUUUCUCAGAUAAUUGGCUUAUACUCAACAAAUUAUGAUGCAACCCAAGAACAUAGAAAACAUCAGAAAAAAAUUAGUAGACCCAUUUUUCAGACUAAUAGAAAUUUUUUCAAAUUUUACUUCACCAUGGACAGAUACAUCAAGUUCAACAAAUAAUUCUUUCUUGCCAGAUAUACCGUUACUGCAACCCGUAUCCAAGUAUCAUUUAUUUUUAUUAACUAGAUCAACAGCAUUACAGGCUAAUAAUGAAGUCUCAAAUUUUUUAUUAUUAUUCUACAUCUGAUUGUCAACAACAUUAGAUUGAAAAUUUCUAUCUUUUUUUUUUUCAAAUCUACAUUCAAUUUGUCUAUGACCCAAGUUUUCAUAAUUAUAGCAUUGAAUACUCUGUCCAAAAUUAUUCUAAUUGAAAUUAUUUUCUCUGCCAAAAUUACCAUCUCUGUCUCUAUCAAAAUCACCUCUAAAAUUAAAAUUAUUACCUCUACCACGUUUAAGAUUUAAUGUAUCUUCUCGACCUCUAUUAUUGUUCCUAUGACCACCUCUGUUAUUGUGACCACCUCUAUUAUUAUAACCAUCCCUGUUCAUCUGCUUGGAUUCACUUUGCUCUCUAACAUUAUUAUUGUCUUUCAAAUUCAGUUACAUAUGCAAUGCCUUCUCUACUGUAUCCAUCUCCGGGAUAUCCUCCAAUUUCUUCUUAAUUCUUUGUUCAUGCAGAAUUAAUGAUCCAUCCAAAUUUUCAAUAUUCAAAUUCUUCAAAUUUUUUAUUUCCUAGAUUAUAGCUACCACAUGAUCCAAUUUCGUGAGUAAGGCAUUGAAAACUUUUUCAACAAAUGUUCUAUUUGGAAAGUUAUACUAAUUAAGUUUUAUCUCGUUUUUAAUAUCUUACAAACGAAAAAAAAUAUAAUUCAAUAGAUUCCGACUUCUCUAUAGUCACACAUUCGAAUUUCCUGUUCAACAUCAUCAAAUUAUUUUGACGAAUCCUGUCAAUUCCUAUGUAUGUUUCUUUCAAUAUAUCCCAAGUCUUCUUUGUGUAUUAGCCGUAGCAAUUUUUUCAAAAACUAACAUGUCAAUUGCCUGAUGAAUCUGUGACAAAGCCAAGUUAUCUUUUGCCUUAUCAUUCUCGCUAGCAUUUUGAGCAAGUGUAGAUUCAAUAUAUCGUAAUUUACAUGCCUUAAGAUGAGUUAUCAUCUAUUUCUACCAAAAAUUGAACUUUGUUGACAAAACAGACAAUAUUGGGGUUUGGAUUUGCCAUACUUCAAUCUAUCAUAAUUCUGGUACCACUCUGAUGGACCCAAAUUGAUAAAACCACAAAAUCCACAAGAAUAAUUAAAAAAAUGAUAUUGAGGCAAAGGGAAUUUUCUAUUAAUCAAACAAGGCUCUGGCUACCCCAUACAAAACACAACGAAGGCUACUACUUCUUCUUAAGGCUAAAAGACGGACGCAAAGGCUAUAUAUCAAAGCCUCUUGGCGGCUAACUUCUAUUACUAACUCUACUGAUCAUAAAAAAUUGGGUAAAAAACAAAAAAGUCCCCUGUGGUAAGUUUAAUACACAGAAAAGUCCCAUAUGGUUUCAAAAUAUAGAACACGACACCUCAUGCUUUGAAUUAAAUUGUAAAGGUAACAGAAUCUGUUAAAUUUAACGGAAAUGACUUAUUGGAACUUUAAAAAAAAAAUUAUACCUAAUUUUUAUCAAAUAUACCUAUUCUACCCCUUAACCCUCAAUUCUCUCUAUUUAGAGAAUAAAACAAAUGAUUUUUUUGAGCUGUCUUUUGCUUAAUUAUAUCAGGGCAUUUUGGUCAUUUUGUCCAUUUCCUUUAAGUUUAACAGAUUCUGUCACCGUUACAAUUUAGUUCAAAACAUGAAGGGUCGUGUUAUAUAUUUUGAAACCAUGGGAGACUUUUCUGUGUAUUAGAUUUACCAGAGGGGAUUUUUUUGUUUUUUACCCUAAGAAAUUCAAUCCCAUAUGACCACCCUACCAACCAACAACACUGCUACCAAGCCACUAACGUCACACGAAAAUAUAAAUAAAUAAUAAAGACUUGGUUUGUAUUUCUAUAAAAAGGACAAAAUAAAAGUAAUUUGAAAACUAAUUUUAGAGAACGUUUUUAGUAUAAUAUCAAGUGAUAUGUAUGAUUUACACCAAAGAAAUUCUCCCAUUAUAUAUAGUAUAAAUAAUUAGAUGAUUAUGUGUUUUGAUUUGGUUAAAGUCAUGUUCGAAGCCAAGCACCACGCAAGAAAACUCGAAUGGAAUAUACCACGCAAGUUCGAGAUACAUAUAUCAUGGAAAUCCUUGUGUACAAACAUCUCAUCUUGAGAAUUUACAAUUUGUAGCCAUAUAUGGGCUAAUUUCUCAGAUUAUUUGCAUUUAAAAAAAACAACCGUCAAAUACACCUUUGUCAGGGUCGUUUCUAAUUGUAUAGCAGCCGUGCUGAUUGGGCACGGUCCCAUGACAAAAAGUUUGACCGAAUGUUCUCUGCAAAAAAUUCAGUGGUGCACGGUAGGUGUCAGACAGGGAUGUGCUGAUUGGGCACGUCCCGAACUGACAGAAAACUGAGUCGGUCAAAUUAGCUGUCAGAUCGGGACGUGCUGACUGGGCACGUCCCGGCUGACUGAAACUGACCAAGUCUGGGCAUUGUCCCCGGCUAACAGAAAACUGGUUCGUCUGGGCAUGAGAAGAUUCUUGGAUAUAAAGCCUCCUCCUAGCAUGUCUUACAGAAAUGUGCAAAAGCUUCUUGUUCUUAUCCUCGAAGAGAUUACAACCUGUAUAUAGUGAUUUCAUAGCAGAUGAAACUCGUUGUCAAUUAACUUUAUCAAAUGGUCCCUGAAAUGAUGUUUCGGGUCCAUUAUGGAAAAACUCUAAAUGCAAAAGCAACAUAUCCCACUUAAUAGAGAGUUUGGCUAAACUAAAAGACAGUCCUACAAGACAAAUGCAAAUUCUUAAAACAUCACUUUUUUUUACUAACCUUUUAUUCAUAAUCUACUCAAAUUUAGGCUAAUUAGACUACCAAAGUGAUUAACAAAUCUACAAACAAAAGAUUAUUCAGUCUAGUUUUUAAAGUUGUUAAAUUAAAAUUCUAAACUUAAUAAAUUUACUAAAACCCCUAAUUAUACCUGAAAAGUCAGAAUUAAUUCACAAAAAUACGCAUUAUCAUCAUAAAGAAAGGCCAGAACUCUAAACAUGAGAAAUUUAUCCAUUUUUGGCACAUGUUGAGACCCUAGCACAAUUAUGCAAAAGUUAGGGGACAAAUUAUAAAUAUAAAUUAUGGACUUAGAUCAAAAUAAGUGAACAUAAGAACAAUGUGUAUAAUUUUCAGAAAAUUAAACAAUGCCUAAAACAUAUAAAAUAUGUAAAGCUGCAUAUUAAAAACAAAACAAAGGAAAAAUAAAAAUAAAAGUUUGGUUUUUAAAUGUUGGGUUAAAAACCAAGAAAAGAAUGGAAACAUAAAACUAGAGCUAAAUGCCCAGACGAACCAGUUUUCUGUCAGCCGGGGACAAUGCCCAGACUGGGUCAGUUUCAGUCAGCCGGGACGUGCCCAGUCAGCACGUCCCGGUCUGACAGCUAAUUUGACCGACUCAGUUUUCUGUCAGUUCGGGACGUGCCCAGUCAGCACGUCCCUGUCUGACACCUACCGUGCAUCACUAAAUUUUUUGCAGAGAACAUUCGGUCAAACUUUUAGUCAUGGGGCCGUGCCCAAUCAGCACGGCCGCUAUACAAUUAGAAACGACCCCUGACAGAGGUGUAUUUGGCGAUUGUUUUUUUUAAAUGCAAAUAAUCUGAGAAAUUAGCCCGAUAUAUGUACAUUUUUAUUUGCACAUACUUGCUCAGUGACAAUUGAAUUGUACACAUGAAGCUUGCAAUGUCCAUAAAAGCAUACAUAUCCGUGCUUGUACCCCAUUUUAAUGAAAAAAAUUCAUGAAAUUCAAGUCGCACUACCCUUUUUUCUAAAUUUCAUCAUCGUUAAUUUGAUCAAUCAAAUAUUUUGAUUUCCCAUCGACAUUUUCCAUUAACAUUUAAUUAAAUACUAACAUCAAUUUACACAAAGAAUUGUAAUCCAUGCUUGAUAGUCCCAAUAAUUUAUCCUCUCUAGUCAUCAAGUUACAAUUCCCGCAAUCAUAAUAAUAAUCUUGGCUUGCGCGACAGUUGAACCGGUCAAUAUUUUGGCCAGACCGAAUUGGCAGUUGGACUUAAAAAUGAAGUAACUCGUUGACUAAUUAAUAAUUCAUCAGUUCAAUUAGUAAAAUUUAAAAAUUUGAUCGAUCCAAACACGAUCGAUGUCCGAUUGGGUUUAAUAACUAUACUUGCAAUGAUUAAUAAUUCAACGAUUCAAUUAGCAAAAUUUAAAAAUUUGAUAGUUUCAAGCACAGGUUUAUUAACUACGCUUGCAAUGAUUAAUAAUUCAACGGUUCAAUUAGUAAAAUUUAAAAACUUGAUAGAUUCAAACAAUAGAUGAUGUCCGGUUGAAUUUAAUAACUACGCUUGCAAUGAUUUAACAUGGCAGCAAAUGUACUUUGUUUUGAAUCAACUCAGCUACUCCAUGAUUGAAAAGAUUUUUUUUUUUUUUUUACUAAUUAGACUUGAACUCCAAGAAACAUUUGUAGUAAUUAAAAAAAUGAAGGGUGAGUACCGAAAUAAAGAAAACAUGACACGAAAAAGUAAAAAGAUAACUACCCAUUACUCCUACAACACUCUCUAUCGCACACAGUAAUGGCUUCAUCCUCGUCGAGCUCGUCUGCGAUUUUCAGCUUCGUCUCCAACCCCACCGCCACUCGUAGUCUCCCUCGGCGUCACUUCACGCGGCAACAUUUCGCUUCAUCCCCAAAUACCAGAAAGAAAUUCCCCAUUUUUACUCAGAAAACGGCUAGUAGACGAACCAAUACAGCAAUAACAGCAAAACUCGGACAGAAAAGCGCUCUGGAGUAUAGGAAACUCGGAGAUUCCGACCUUAUUAUUAGUGAAAUCACGCUUGGCACCGUAAUUAUAAGCUUUCCACUCUUCUCGUCUGUUAUUUGUUAGUUUUACUGUUUUAUUGAGUUACCAAGGAAAUGCAAGAAAAAUCUUGAGUUUCUUGUAGCAUAUGUGGCGUUCAUCUCUUGUUGGUUAGUCGAGAAAUUGAAUUUAGCUUGCACAAUUGUUAAAUUGGAUGGAACCCAGUACAAAAUACAAAUAGGAUAAGAUUACAAGGGGUGGUUUGGUGCAAAAUUUGAUUCCCAACUCCCAAGUCCUAACUUAGUUAACCGAGAUGAAGUGGGAAUGGUGUCCAUGCUUGAUGGUUUACUCUUGAUUGUGGAACUAAUAGAACUAUGAUCAGGAAUUAGGAUUAAAUGUGAGAAACAACUUCAAACGGGGGUAUACAAUGCGUGGUUAUUUUGCAUCUUGCUCUGCUGGGGCAUGCAUCUAUUACCUUUGUACUCUUAAUGUGUUUGGUAAUAAAUUUUACUCUUUAGUUUCAGAAGCCUCUGAUUCCCUCAGUGGUAAAAGUACUAGAAUAUCCCCUUGGCCCAUAAAUGCUAUACUGAAAGUUUUGAGCUUGAAACCAAUGGCCAAUUGAACAAACAGUCUCCUUAUCAAGGCCUAAGUCCAGAUUUUAGCUGUGUACUAUGUUACUCUAAAGACUGAAUUUUGACACAAUCCUCAAUCAUCUGUAUGUGCCUGGAUGUCAAAUUUGGUUUCUCCUUCACCGUCUCCCUACAGUUACCCCUUCCUUAAUAUAGGUGGAGACAGUGAUAAGUGUUGUUGUGCUACAAGUCAUUUUGGGGAGAGGGGUUCUUCCCUGAUAUACUGCAAUGGUUUGCUAAAAUUUCUUUCUUCUAUAUUUGUAAUUUGGCAGGCAGUAUUCAUUCCGUGGUAAGAACACUAAAUUACAAUAGAAUCACUAAUAGAAGUAAAAGCUUUUGCUUUUCUGUGUUUAGAUGAUUUUGAUCCUGACAUCAUUCAUCCAUGCAAUAUUUCAGAUGACAUUUGGACAGCAGAAUACAGAGAAAGAGGCACAUGAUAUGCUUAAUUAUGCGUUCGAUAAUGGGAUAAAUGUCUUAGAUACUGCAGAGGCUGUAAGCUAUUUGAUACUUAUGUCUUAAAGUAUUUUCUUGCUACAAAAAACUGCAUCUGGAAGAAAUCAUUAAGUCUCAGAAUAUACUUCACAAUAAAACAUUUUCCUGAUCAUUAUGUUCGAUGUCACUCUAUGGAGCUUUGCCAUUAAGGAUCUGUGUCUGUACUUGUGUUGUGUUUCACAUGAAUUCACUCUCUUUUAGUGCAUUGGAACUUUUCAGUUUUUGCCUAUCUAGGAGCUCAACUUUGUUAACCAAAACCUUGAGGGUUGGCUUUUCCAAAGAAAUUGAACUUGGCUAACCAAGUGGUAGACCUUUUUACCUUUGAGUUUGAUUUCUCUUUAAGCAAAGUUUUCUGGAUAUAAGUGGUGGAGUGAUGAGCCAAUCUUCCAGUGAAAUUUCUUUUGGAUGGAUCUUAUGUUAUAAGAAGCUUGUCACUAAUAGUGAUAUUUUGUUCUUUGAAAUUGUAAAAUUCAAUCAAUAAUUCCCCUUUAUGUUCAUUUACUCUACCAUAGACACCAAGUUCCCAUAUAUAUCUUACUUGUGGUGUUAUUCUUCCAUCAAUCUCCUAAGUACCCAAUUCCAACAAGGAAGGAGACACAAGGGCUGACAGAUCGCUAUAUUGGUAGCUGGCUGAAGUCUCAACCCCGUGACAAGGUACUAUAUUCAUUUGUCCAGGAAAUUUUUUUCUCUGCUUUUUUGAUUUCCCAAUCAGCAGUCAUAAUUUUGACUUUGUAGAUGUGCCUUUGGUUUUUCAAUAUCAUCACUUGGUAGCCUGUCUAUUCGAUAAUGUGGUCCCUUGUCCAAAUGCAUGGCUAUGCUUGCUUAGAUCUUGUUUCGUGCAGGUCAAAAUUCCAGCAAUAUCUUUUUGGUGGAUUUGCUUAACAUGAAUGUUUUUUUGUUUGAAUUUUCUCUGAAAUUCUGCAUUUUUCUGAGAAUUUAAAUAAAGAAAAAUUAUUAGUGUGUUCUGGUCCAAGCUAAAUCAUUAUUGUUAACAGUUGCACCGAUUGCUAAAUCCUUAUGAUGCUACUCAGUCUGUAAUUUGUAAGUGGGCCUUUUUGACAGUGGUUUUAGGCUUGUUUAGGUACCCAUUUUUGAAUAUUCUAAGGAAGGCCUUUUGGUAUUCAAAGAGAUGUUUUUCCCUUGAUCCAUUUCCAGUUCAUUUGACAAGGUUGCUUUUCUAGCUACAAGAAAAUGAUGUGACAGGAUGGAUUUGGAUUCUUGCUAUUGUUAUUAGAGUCGAAAUUUUUUGGGGGUAGUCUCUCCAAAUUAUUGCUUCCUGUUCUUAACCAUGAACUUAAAUAAACAUCUGUUUUUUGCUCUUAAUAAACUUCUGUUAAACCAAUUAUGUUUUCUUUUAUCCAGUUUCAUGUGAUAUUUUUGUCAGGACUAAACUGAUUAUGUUAAAGCUUUCUUUUUUAUUUUAUCUUUUCUGAAGUUUUUGUUUUCCUGAACCUUGAUAACCUGCUGUUUUUUUUCCUACACAGACACUGAAUGUUGAGAUAGUCAAUCACCAUGUUUACUGUAUUUAAAUGCUACUCAUCAUUUUGAACUGUGGGCUGCCAUAACUUGAAGUUACAGUGUCCUAAUCAAUGACUAGGUUAUCGUGGCAACAAAAAUAUCUGGUUAUUCGGAGCAGCGAAGCUUUUUAAGGGAGAAUGCAAAAGUUUUGAGGGUUGAUGCUGCUAAUAUAAAAGAAAGUGUAGAAAAAAGUCUUCAACGUCUUGGUACUGACUACAUCGAUUUACUCCAAAUACAUUGGUAAGCAAUUAUACUUACCAGCAUUGCACGAUCAAUUUUUUCGAACUCUAAUUUUGUUUGACACUACUCAUUGGUUACCUUCUUCAGUGAAAAUCUUUAUACCUAUCUUAACUCUUUAAGUGUGACAUAUUUCAGUUUAUCUUUGGUAAUUUUUUGACUUAAAACAUACAAAUGAACCUUAGAACCAUAAAAGUGGCAAUCACUGGAUAAAGCUAAAUCUGUCAAUAAAUGUGAAAUGCUAUGUCAACAUCCUAACCCCCUAAACCCGCCUCGCCUGGCAGGGGUCCCCUGGCUGGGAGAAAAUAAAGUAAAAGAAAAAGAGGGCAAGGUGCGAUUAUUUACUUUUAACUAAUUCCAAGUCAACUCAAGAACCCAAUCCACUUUGAUUACAAUUCAGGUCGUCUCUUCAUUGUUUGCAUGCAACUGCAUUGACAGGCAAGUCAAAUUUAUUUUUACCAUUGCUUGAUUGGUAAAUGGCUGUACUAUUUUAUGGUCAGGAGGGAUAUAGUUGUAUCUGAAAGAGAGUUAGAAUUUAGAAGAAAGUUUUAGCACAUGCAAGGGAUUUAACUGCAAAAUGGAAGAAAGCAACUAGACGUUAUUAUAAGGGUUGGACGUAGACGAGGCUAUAUGGCCCUUAAUUUUGUCCACACAAAAGUGCAAAUGGCCGCCGGCUUUAUAGAUAUCCUUGGGAUUGUUUCCCAAGUGUAUGUUGGCUAGAAUUUUGAAUUUUUCAUAAUCUGGGUCUGUGACAGAGUAUUUAUCCACUGGACUAAUCAAGCCAAAGCGGUCUUCUUGGUCUGCAUAUCUCAUAAAAUAUUUAGCAGAUGCUUAUUUAUAGUCAGAAGGCCGUUUCAUAAAUGUGGCUCCUGAAUUGUUAUGCUGCUGUUGUAUCCUGCAUUCAUAAUACAGCACAAAUGCUAUGAUCUACUGCUAUUGGCAGGCCAGCCUAUUAUGAUGGGGUAUUUAUUAGAAUACUGAUAUUUCUAUUGAAAAUUGAAGAAGAUUAAAGGUUUUACUGAGGUUCCCAAAAUACUGAAAAUAGAGAAACUGCUUGAAAAAGUGACAUUGAGUAGAUCUUAUAGAACUCAGAUAUUGAUGAUGAUGGUGGUGGUGGUUGUGGAGAGGGAAUUAUUGGGAGUGAAAGAUGCUGGCGCAGCUUGUAUGGUUUGCUUUGUGGUUGCUCUUCUACUUUAUUCUUCUCUUAUCAUACGUCCAUGAACAAUGUUUCUAGAAGGGAAAGAGAAGAAGGAAAGGGAGGGGAAGGACCGGGAGGAGUUUAAGAAGCAAAAAGGUAGGAUAAGGAGGGGGGGAAAAGCCUUGGAGUCUCCCCUUGAAGCAAAAAAGUAAAAAAAAAAAGAUAGGACAAGAAGUGGAAGGAAAUUAGAAAAAAGACAAAAGGAAGAAGAAGCCGAUUUAUGAGAAAUCCAUUUUGAAGUCAGCUUUUGAAAGAUGAUUUAAAGUUGGAUUUUUUAGAAGUCUAUUUUGCAAUUUUGGGAAGCUGAAUAAAACCAACAAUAGUUCUUUAAUUUCCAAUAAAAAAUCAAUAUUCUGGUAAACAACCCCACCUCAUUAUGACUUCUUUAUAUCUUCUCUACUUCUCUUCUUUGAAGCAGUGGAGCUCAUUUUAUAAGUUUAAAGGGAUCACCUAUUAGUCCUGCAUAAUGGAAUAUUGAGUCUACAUUUAACCUAUUUAUUAAACCUGUUCAUCUAAAACAUCUUCCUGCACCAUUCAGGGUUUACCUUCUUGUCAAAUACACAAAUUUCAUGAAUUCUUCUCCUAUAUGUCUGCAACAAAAUGGCCCCCUCUCAGAUUUGAGAUAAUAAUUAUACUUUUGUCUCAGGCCAGACCGUUAUGUUCCCCUGUUUGGCGAGUAUUUUUAUGAUCCUUCAAAAUGGAGGCCAAGUGUUCCUUUUGUCGAACAACUGACAGCAUUCAAAGAACUCAUUGUCGAAGGGAAGGUACCAGAAAGCACAAGUUUCGUAUUUAGUUUACUUAAACAUUGUCUUUGCAUCAUAAAUGAGUUAGCAAUACCUGCUUUACACACUUGAAUGUUUAUCUCUAGAGCCCCAAUCUUUGAAUAAACUUGUCAAGCAUUACUAUAACUAUGAAUGGGAUUCUCUGGGCUAAUCUACUGGAUGUAAAGAAGGAAUUUCCAACAGCUUUAUUUUUAGCAUGCACAACUUCAUUUUUGUCCCUUUUUUGCUUUGCUUCUUCUGCUUCAGUUUGUGUCUCUUUGGCAAUAACAGAGAAACCUUUUCAGGUACGACAUAUUGGUGUUUCAAAUGAAACUUCAUAUGGAGUAAUGGGAUUUGUUCAUGCUGCUAAAGACAAAGGAUUACCAAAGAUAGUUAGUAUUCAAAACAGCUACAGUCUGCUUGUAAGAUGUAAAUUUGAGAGUAAGUUAUCUUCUGACUCUGUCUCAUUUUCUAUCAUCGUUAAUAACUAAAAUACGUUAUUUCUGACUGUCAUAGCUUGGAUCUUCUUUGUUUAAAUGCUACUUUUAGAAAUACAUGUUCCUUCCAUCAGAGCCUUGACUAACUAGUUGCUUUUCCUUUCUUCUGUAAUCAUUCAAAAGUUCUUCAAUCCUGCCAUAACACAGAUUUAUAAUAUUCUCAAACAGCAAUAACUUUGAGGAGAAUUGUAUAUUUGCGUGUGAUACUUUUAGGUUUUACAUUGUAUUUGAUUCUUCGCAGUUGAUCUUGUUGAAGUAUGCCAUCCAAACAACUGCAACAUCAGCUUACUUUCUUAUUCUCCACUGGGUGGUGGUGCGCUGACUGGAAAAUACUUGGAUAUCAAUUCUGAAGCUGCAAAGAAAGGAAGACUCAACCUCUUCCCAGGGUAUAUGGAAAGAUACAACAAAUCCAUUGCCAGGGUAUGUGUUAUUUGAGUUUGAUAAAGCACGGAAAAUAGCUUUUUACCUGUCUUUGCUUGUAAGGAGAAUAUCAGAUUGAGAUGCAAAUUUAUGCAGAAAAUGCACAUGGUAUAAUCAUCUUCCUGCCCUCUUACAUGCCUCAAAAACUUUUGACUAGCAAUUCAUAAUUUGUAAUCAUUUCUAUUGAUUUUUUUUUUGGUCAUGGCUUGUAGAUGUGAAAAAUAAAUGUUAGUCACGAAAUUAUUCGUGCUUUUUCUCAGGCACAUGUUGAUGACUUUGGGUGAGAAUUGAGAUAUAAAACUUAUUCUCAAUGUCAAAUAAACAAGGCAAAAUUUUCUUAAUAGUAUAAUUUGCUGUAACUUCUAGAUAUGUUCCACUAGUUCAAAUUUUUGUGCCGUGUUCUUCACUUACUUUUGCCAUGAUGAAAGUACGCAACCAUUCAUCUUUUUGACACUUGAGCAACAAAACUGCUUUUAGUAUACUUCUAUCCAGAAUAGCCUUCAGUUCAGCCACAGCAGUUCUACAUUUGUUUCCACAAAAGGCUACUUAUUCUUCUGAAGAGAUUACAAUUCUAUUCACAAUGACAAAUCCAUGUAUUUUUGAUACCAUUCUUUCUAGAUCAUGCACUAAUUCUUUCCAAAUAUUUUAUUCCUUUUUUCACGUUAAAUGAGCAUUUUCCAUGUGAGUAUCUAGCUCAUGUUUGUAUGUUGGAAUUACAGGAAGCAACAGUACAGUAUAUGGAAGUGGCCAAGAAACAUGGGCUUACGCCUGUAGAGUUAUCUCUCGGUUUUGCACGAGACCGACCAUUUAUGACAAGCUCAAUUGUAGGUGCGACUUCAGUGGAUCAAUUGAAAGAAGAUAUCGAUGCAUUUUUGACAGUUGAGCGGCCUUUGCCACCUGAAGUGAUGGCUGACAUUGAAAGCGUCUUCAAUAGAUACAAAGAUCCUGCAAUUCUUUAGAUGAGGUGCUUCACAUGAAAAGUUUCACUAAAUCCUUCUCCUCUAAAACUAAGUUGCUGCUGAGGGGAUGCAUGACUUGCAUAUUCUGCCUUUUUUUCCUGAAUGGUUCGGGCGGCUUCGAGCAAGCUCCAAACUCUCAAGCCCGACAUGAUUUUACUUCUUUGUCUUCUCAAGGCGAAGCUAUUCUUUGGGGCUUCUUUGGUAUUGCUACAGAGAGAUACAGUUUGCUUCGUGUAUUAAUAGGACUUGUAUUUUGAUCUUUGGUCAAUAUAAGCGUACGCUAUUCUUUUCACCCUGAGCUUUCUCGUUCUUGCAUGGCAGUUCAUUUUUCUCCUUUGGGUUUUCUCGUUCUUGCAUGGCACUAAAGAUCACAUGCAAACAUAAGAAAUCACGUUUUGUACUUUUAGCUUUUAAAAUUAUUAGUGCCAUUAUUGUAUAUAUUGAGGAAAUUUCAUUUAUUAAUAGUUAGUGAUUGACUAAUCUUUAAUGUUGAACAUAUUUGGUUCCGAGAAAACAACAUAAUUACUUGUAAAGUGUAAACUAUUGGCACCAUAAUUAGUAGAAGUAGUAGUAGUAUAGAAAUUAUCAGGGUAAAAAACCAAAAAAUUCCCUGUGAUUUGACAAACAUUUAAUUUAACUUCUUCUGGUUUGAAAAUCUACACUAUAACUCCCUAUGAUUUUGAUUAAAUUGAAAAUUGGACAUAAAACAUCAAAUCUAACGGUUGUGUGUGAAAUGUCAAUAUUGUCCCUACUAUACGUGAGAUGCUUUUCAUUCAAUUUUCAAUUUAGUCGAAAUUAUAGGAAGUUAUAGUAUAAUUUUUUAAAUCACAGGGAGUUAAAUUGAACAUUCAACAAACCAUAGGGAGUUCAUUUACAUAAGGGCAAUAUUGAUAUUUCACAUCUAACCGUUAGAUUAGAUGCUUUCCGUCCAAUUUCAAUUUAGUUGAAACAACAGAGAGUUAUAAUGUAGGUUUUCAAACUAGAGGGAGUUAAAUUGAAUAUUUAGCAAAUCACAAGAAAUUUUUGGGUAUUUUACCCUAAUUAUCAUCCCAAAAUCUAUUUAAAAAAAUCUACUAGCAUGGCUAUGAAAAUAUUUCCACGCGUCAUAUGAAAAAGGUGUCAUUUAAGAGAUUUUCGAAGGGCAGUUUUUAUAAGGUGGUUAAGAGGACCAAAUAAGCGCGCCAAAGUCGCUCCCCAGUCCAUUGAGCUGCAAACGUUCUCCUAAACUUGUGUCACUUUCUCUUUCCUUACCUUCUCUCUCUUCAACUCCCUCUUCUUCUUUGCUAUGUUUGAUCUGUUCUGACAACGUAAAUCUCGAAACCCUUUUCGUAUUUCGAAGAAUCCGACAUGAAAUCAUUCGAAUUCUUGAGGAUUAUGAGCGUGGAUCACUAGUUUUCUUGAAUAUUCAAUAAAGGUUAGUUGUUAGUGAAGAAAAGUGUCAAGGUGAUAUCUCGGAUUUGACAAAAGAUUAGCUGAAUUUCGUAAGGUAAAACAUUCUUGUUAAGAUAUUUGGGAAGUUAAUGAUAGGCCAUAGCAGAUUGGAUUGGCAUCUAUGAAGACUAUGCGGAUGGUUGGGACAAAGAGGGUACAGUGGUGGCUGCCCAAGAAUUAUUUCAGAUGGAAUGGCAGAUCCUGUUAGUUAUGGCAAUCCUGAUCGUGACAUUGAACAGGUAUUUCCAUUCUUUUUCUUUUCCUUUUGCGUUUCCUUAGUCGAAUUUAUUUUUCCCAAAGAUGAAAUUAGACACAAGAAAAGGAUAGGUUUAUCACUUAACAUAGUAUCGGUUCAAAAUGAGAGAACAUCCCUUAUUUAAUUAGUUUGUAUAGUGUGUUUUGUUGGUUCAUUUGGACGUUCUGAUUGGCCUAAAAAUGCCUAUCAUGCCUAGUGAACUGACUAAAUGAGUUUCCUCAAGUAGAGUUGCUAGAAUUUGGAACCUUGUGACUGGCUAGCUUGAGGUCUUCUAGGUUUGUCAUAGUAGAGAGGAUGACAAGUAGACGUGUUUAGCCAGAGCUUAGAAAUCAGGAAGUAAACAGACAAGAAAAGUAUAUAGAAAACAUUUUUAAGUUUAUUUUUGUAAAUUGACCAAUAAGUUCUAAUUGUACAUGUUAGACACCAUUAAUGGAUGAAAACAACACCUUCAGCUGCUGAAAUAGCUUCAUCUAGACUGUGAACUCAAUUUUUGCUUGCAUUAGCUGUCAUUUGCCACGUUAAUUUGCUUGCACUUGUGCCAAGGACAAUGUUUUACCUCGGUUAGUCCAUAAAUGAUAGAUCUGCAUUAUUUGGUUAUCUUUUUAUCUGCUUUGCAGUCGUGAAGCCUUGUGGAAGAUGAGGUAGUAAAUUCCUGGUUUAGCCAAGUUAGAAAUUUGAGAAGUGUGAGAGUUCCAUUAACCAUCUUGUAGUAAGUUCCUUACUCAAGUGCUAAGACUGCCAGUCUUGAUUUGAGGAUGCACCUGGAGUACAUAUCCGAGGCAAAUGUAGUCUUCCACAACAGUAUUCUUCACAGACCGACAAAUCUUUCAGAAGUCUUUUUAUUUGCAAUUUGAGGAAAAUGGGAAUCUCAAACAUGGAGUUGAAUUUUAUUUGCUUUCCUUUUGAAACUCCCACCAACCAAAGAAUUUAAAUAAUGUCAAAAGUCAUGCAGUUUGCUUCAGAAAGUGUUUUGAUGUAUUGCUAACUAUUUCUCUCAUAUGAUGCUUAGCUUUCUGAGAGUUCUUCGUCCCUAUUUUCCAUGUUCUUUUCCAGUUUCCUGACCUUUCUGUGGUAUGUUUUAUUGUCCCUUUCUCCUCUUGUUUUCUUCUAAAGGCACUGAUUGCUUUGAAGAAAGGUACUCAGUUAAUCAAGUACAGCAGGAAAGGAAAACCAAAGUUUUGCCCCUUCAGAGUUUCUCCAGUAAGUGAUUAAUUCUUCUAGUCUACGUAAAGAUAUUCUUUUUCUUUGCAGAUAUUCAUUUUCUUUGAGUUGUGGACUCUGUAGACCACAGUAUUUGGAAUGAUAAGCAUGUUAUAGUGGCAUAGUUGCUUCUCUGUCCAAUAGGACUUGGAGGAAACACUGAUAAUGUAGUCUUUGGUAGUUUGUACUUGAUUUGAACUAACUAUAGAUCGGAUAACCGAGAAGAUGCAGAUUAAUUGCAAGCAAAGAUGUUAGCAUAGGAUAUAUUUCAAUACGACUAAGUUGUAAGAGCAUGAUAUUUGAAAUAUGAGUCAACCUGUCACUAGCUUAUAUGAUUUGGGUUAAGCAUUGCUCAUAUUUUCAGGAUGAAACAACACUAAUCUGGUACUCCCAUGGGUCAGAAAGGAUUCUGAAGCUAUCUACUGUUCAACGGAUUAUUCCUGGGCAGAGAACCGUGAGUUAGCACAUCUCUCUGCGAUGGAUUGAUGAUUAAAUUUUUAGUCAAGUAACCUGCCAUUUCUUAUGAUCACUCUAAUAAAGUUUUUCCUUAUGUAAAUAAGAUGAGAUGACAAUGUAUUUUCCUUUCUGUCUACAUGUUUCUACAGCCUGUCUUUAGAAGAUUUUUGCGACCAGAAAAGGAGUAUUUGUCAUUUUCGCUUAUAUACAACAACGGUGAAAGAUCUCUCGAUCUGGUAAGUUGUACAAGCCAUAUAACAAGGACGAGACCUGAAGCAGUAGUGAGACCGUUCCACUGAAACCUGCGAGUUGUGGUUUCAGUAAUGGAAACUGCCUCUCUGCUCUGGGUUUGCCCUGUUAUGUUUCUUGAUUAGUUCUUCAUAAAAAUAUGAACUCUGUUAAGGACACUAGUGGCAUUGAUCUUUCCUUACCAGAUUUGCAAAGAUAAAGCUGAAGCAGAGGUGUGGAUUGCUGGCUUGAAGGCUCUAACUUCAACUAGCCACGCUCGUGGUAGACGAACCCGGAGUGAUAUUCCUGAUGUAACUUUUUCUAACUUAGAUCCUUCCAAGAAAUGAAUCAACUAGUUUUCUCUAAGUUAAGCUUGUGCAGUCCGGUCCAGAUUGACUUGACAAUGAAUUAUGUUUACUAUUAUCAGCUGUAAUUGGGUAAUCCUGUCUCAUUUUUCUUCAAUGGCAUAAAAUAAUUCUUUCUGACAAUGCAAUGUAGACUUUCCUUCAUUUAACACACGUGACCGGCUGUUAGAAUGAAUUAUCACAAAACCCAAUGAAAUUAAAUAAAAGCUUUCCUUUUCAGCUAAAAGGUUUUAUAUACUGUAUAUAUCAUCUUGGAACUUUUUUUUUUUUAACAAAUCCAAAUCCACAUAAUGAUUUCUGCCAAACUUUGCUCCCUGUUGGAAGUUAUAGAUCAAAUGGCUACAUUUAUUGGUAGGCAAGACUCGGUAACAAAAGUGUCAAAUUCAUCUUUUUUGCAAUAGUAGCAAACGUAGUUCUCUGCUUAAAUGGUUUGUCAAACAUGUAAUUGAGCCCCCACUUUUGCAGCUACAUGAAGCUGGUAGUGAUCCCAUUCCAAACGGGCGUCCAUUUGGCACAACAUUAGAGUUCACAACAAGUAUUCCUCGAGGCAGAGCUUCUGUUGAUCUAGUUUCUCGUGAACCAUCCUUGAAUUUUCCAGGCUCAGAUGUGGGCUCUGAAAGUGCAAAUAUGCAAGGAAGAUCAAGCGGUGGAGAUGGUUUCCGUAUUAGUGUCUCAAGCACUCCUAGUUGUUCAAGUGGAGGCUCCGGGCCAGAUGAUAUAGAAUCACUGGGCGAUGUUUAUGUCUGGGGUGAGAUUUGGUCUGAUGGGGUAUCAACUGAUAGAUAUGGGAAUCCCAUUCCUAUUAAAAACGAUGUAUUGACUCCUAAAUCCUUGGAGUCAAAUGUAGUUCUUGAUGUUCAGCAGAUUGCAUGUGGCCAUCGGCAUGUGGCCCUGGUUACAAGGCAAGGUGAGGUCUUCACUUGGGGAGAGGAAUCUGGGGGAAGACUUGGUCACGGAAUUGAAAAGGACUUCAGUCGCCCUCGUCUUGUUGAAUAUUUAGCAGUUACAAAUGUAGAUUUCGUUGCGUGUGGUGAGCACCAUACCUGUGCUGUUUCUACAUCUGGUGAUUUAUACAGCUGGGGAGAUGGUACUCAUAAUGCCGGACUUCUUGGUCAUGGGAAUGAUAUUAGCCACUGGAUACCCACAAGGAUAUCUGGUCCACUGGAAGGCCUUCAAGUUUUAUCAGUUGCAUGUGGCAUAUGGCACUCAGCAUUGGCUACUUCUAGUGGUAAACUAUUUACAUUUGGUGAUGGAUCAUUUGGUGUUCUAGGUCAUGGUGAUCGCAAAAGUGUCACAUGUCCAAAGGAAGUCCAGUUAUUGAGUGGACUGAAGACCAUCAAAGUUGCAUGUGGUGCAUGGCACACAGCUGCUAUUGUAGAGGUCACUAACCAGUCAGGUACAACUGUUUCCUCUAAGAAGUUGUUUACUUGGGGUGAUGGUGACAAAUACCGGUUGGGACAUGGGAACAAGGAAACUUAUCUGCUCCCAACCUGUGUCUCUGCACUUAUUGACUACAACUUCCACCAGAUAGCAUGUGGGAAUAAUACAACUAUUGCCCUUACAACAUCAGGUCAUGUCUUCACAAUGGGAAGUAACGCAUGUGGUCAGCUUGGGAAUCCACAAUCUGAUGGAAAAUCACCUUGUUUAGUACAAGAUAGAUUGGUUGGAGAAUUUGUCGAAGAAAUAGCCAGUGGUGCAUUUCAUGUUGCUGUCCUGACUUCAAGAAGUGAAGUAUUUACCUGGGGAAAAGGAGCAAACGGAAGAUUGGGACAUGGAGACAUAGAAGAUCGUGACGUUCCAACAUUUGUUGAAGCACUUAAAGACAGGCAUGUGAAGAAUAUAGCAUGUGGCUCAAAUUAUACUGCAAGCAUUUGCAUCCAUAAAUGGGUCUCUGGAGCAGAUCAAUCACUUUGUAGUGGUUGCCGCCAAGCAUUUGGCUUUACUCGGAAGAGACAUAACUGCUAUAACUGUGGCCUUGUACAUUGCCAUGCUUGCAGUUCGAAAAAGGCAAUGAAAGCAGCAUUAGCUCCUACUCCAGGAAAACCACACAGGGUCUGUGAUGCUUGCUAUAUGAAACUUAAAAAGGCUGCAGAGGCUAAUAACUCCUCCACUUUCGGUAGAAAUGCCACUGCUUCUCAUCGUCCUGUGGAAAGUAGUGCAAGGCUGGACAGAAGAGAGCCUAGGACUUCAAGGAUUCUGCUCUCCCCGACCAUGGAACCGGUCAAGUAUUUGGAGGUCAGGUCUGGAAAGCUUGGAACACAACCUGAUUACUCUAUAGUCAGAGAAUCCCAAGUUCCAUCACUCUUACAACUGAAAGAUAUUGCAUUUCCAAGUUCACUAAGUGCCCUUCAAUAUGCUCUUAAACCUGUUACGACAGCACCUCAGACACCACCACCAUCUCAGCCUGCAUCCAACUCAAGGCCUGCUUCCCCAUAUUCAAGGAGACCGAGUCCUGCACGCUCCGUUACCCCAGUAUUUUCAAGGGGUGUAAUUGAUGGUCUAAAGAAGACAAACGAGUUUUUGAACCAAGAAGUAUCCAAACUGCAAAAGCAAGUAGGUUUUCUUUAACAAGUUUGCAUGCUACAUCUUGAUCUUUUAGAUCGCUGUCAGAAAAUUUUAUUCUUUCAAUGCUCAUUAACUUCCUCCUGUAAUAUCUUCAGAUUAAAAGUUUGAAGGGGGAAAGCCAAUUACAAGAACAAGAAGUGCAGAAGCUAAAGAACAAAGCCCAAGAAGCAGCUUCAUUGGCUGUAGAGAGAUCCUCCAAGUGUACCGUGGCAGUGAAAACCAUGAAACUGAUUGCAAACCAAGUAAUUUUGACAUUUCAUUUCCUACUUUUCUGUUUGAUUAGUGUUACUAAUGAUUUCGAAGGCGUUCGGAUUUACAUACACCUAAGGGCUGCAUAUUCUGUUUAUUGCAGCCUAGAAGUUGUUCAUCCCGUAUAAUAGUCAGACCUGAAUAUAAGAGAAGAAAUUUGAGAGCAAGUAGAAUAUUCAGAUGUUUACGAUUCUUUUGGACUAGAAAUUUCAGGUUAGGCGAUAGUCGAAGGGUCAAAGCUAAGGUUAACAAUUUAUUUUUUUUAUUUAUUUUUCUGACUCUUGUCAAAUUGAGAGCAACUAGAAUAUUCAGAUGUUUACGAUUCUUAAGGAGUAGGAAUUUCAGGUUAAGUGAUAGUUGAACGGUCAAAGCUAAGGUUAGCAAUUUAUUUAUUUUUUAUUUAUUUUUCUGAUUCUUGUCAACUUUUAGUCAUAAACACUUCAUAAUAAAGUAAUUUCAACUGAGAAACCAUAGGCAAAGACAUGACAAAAGCAGGUAAGAAUUUAUUAAGAGGUUGAAAUAUGGGAACACUAUAGGUAAACUGCAAACGUAAUGCAAAGCUUAUGGUCUAGGGAAGGCAUGAGGGUAGGCAUCCUGCGGGCAGAGUUGUUUUCAUGUAUCAAAACUAUAUGAUUCUCGAGGUGAUAAUAAAAAAAACUGUGCUGUUGCCAAACUUACCUUCAUUCCAUCCCAUUUACCAUUUUAUUAACAAGCUUACCUUCAUUUUCAUACUCAAUAUGAACUGUUUUUCUCCUUUUUGGAACUGUUGAAAGUUUCAUAUAUUACCGUUCUUUAAAACGCUUUACGGCUUUGUUUUAUGCUAUAUAACUGAAGAAAAGGCUUUUAGUAUGUUCUGACAAAUGAUUCACAUUGCAAUAAUCAACAAAUAACUUCAUAUUUGUUGGCGCUGCACAGUUGAAAGAAGUGACUGAGAGGUUACCUUCUGACAUCUUGGAGAUGGAAACCUUCACAUCCAUACAUUCCCAGGUCGAAUCUUUCCUGGAAAUGAUUGGACCUCAUGAACCAGAUGAGGAGUCUUCUUUGCAACCACAUACAGUGCAUGACCAACAUAGCCAGCCUGAUCAAACCUUAUCAGCCAAUGAAUCUGCUGAGAGGCCAGACAGAAGUAUGGAGGAUAAUGUACAUUCUCCAGGACUCCAGGACAUGCAGCAAAAUGCAGAAGCAACUCCCAGGGAAAGAAGACCAUCCAUUUCUCAUAUAAGAGAAGGUUCAGUUCAAGCAAGCGCAGAAGGUGGAUUAGGAUCACCUAAAGCUGCACGGGAAGUUAUUGAGCAAUUUGAACCAGGUGUUUAUGUAACACUAAUCCAACUUAGUAAUGGCACCAAGAUUUUCAAGCGAGUAAAAUUCAGGUAAUCUGCACUUUUAUCCUUCCCAAUUUCAGCUCAAUACUCUUGAUGGUCCAUGAAAUUUGUGAGUUAAUAUAUUUACAUGCAUCUGAGAUGAAAAUUUGAAUAGAGUUUCAGAUCAGUUCAUCCAACUGUACUUUCAUAAGAAAAUUAUCCUAUUACUUAUCAGAUAUACAUGGAAACCACAAAAUUAGUUUUUUCACUAUUUGCAGAAUUGUUUAUAAACUGAAUCUUGAUCUUGUAUUAGAAAAUAUUUGCGUAUUUGAUAGUAGAUAACAUAAAACUGUUACAAGACCAACUUAUGGGCUGGACAAAGAUCUAAUUCGAUCUUAUAAAACAGUUAAUGGCAUCUAUUAGUCACAUACAAUCAGUGCAACUGCAAAGUUACAUUGACUAGGCUAUGAUUUGUUACAAAUAACAGCUAGCCUUGUUUAUUUCUUUUUUUUUUUCAACGGGUUCAUGAAGCAAAUUUCACAAAUAGUUGCACUAGAAAGUAAUGACAGCUUGCCUUGUAAUAUGUUGUUUACACCUAUCCUUUCCGAUGUUCUUUUUCAGUAAAAGAAGGUUUAUGGAGCAGCAGGCAGAAGAAUGGUGGAAGACAAAUAAAGAUAGGCUUCUGAGAAAGUACAGCACGCCCAAGGUAAAUAGCACGUCACCUGAAUCAUCAGGAACUCCAGAAGCAUCUGAGGAAAAGAGUGAAGCAGCACAAUCUUCAUAGGAAUAACCUUAGAUUAGUUGCCUAGCAAUCGAUUGCAGGUAGGGGGUAGGUAGGAAGCUUAAAUACUUGUUCUGUAGGAUAACCAACUUAGCAGAGGCAUCACAAGUGCAUACUUGCUGUGGCGAUGAACUUGACACUUUUUGAAUAGAAAUUGCAUGUUAAGCAUCCAUUUUGUGCAGGAAGAAGAAUACAGUAAAAGAUGUCAUCGGAUUAUGGUGCAAUGAGAUGAAGCUGGUUGACGAAAGGGUGGAAACAUGUACCUGUAGCCUUUUUAAACUAAUAUUGUAUGCUUUAGCAGUUAAAGCAUGUUAGUGAUCUUUGCAUUGUAUGGUAGAUGACAGAUUUGCUAGAACCUGCAGUAUUUCUACUGUAACUUAGCUUUUCUCAUCCUAUAGAAUUCAGACAAAGGAAGUAUUACCAUUCCUGUUAGAUUAACAUUAUAGUAGAUUCGAUCAAAUUACUUUGAAUCAUUUGCUCUAUGCAGCUAGACCUGAAAGCUCGCAAGUAUUGGAAACUAAUUAAUAAUCGCUUUAAAGUGCUACUUGCCAGGCAAAUAUAACUGCAAACUAAAGAGUGAUACAUGCAUUUCUCCUAUCUGAAGGCCUUAAAGUUAGUGAAAAUAAGCUUUUUUUUAAUUAAUUUUAUUUUUUCCAAGGAAGGCUCCAACUCUUACAAGGGGGUGGGGAAUUGAGAGGAAUUUUAGGGUCGAACCUGAUACCUCAUGCCCUCAGUGAUACAUAUGGGUUUUUUGCGCAAGCACUGUGCUUUAAUUUUUGAGUAGAUUAGUUUGUCCCAAAUAGUCUUUUACUUUCCAAAACCUCAAGAGUUACACUAGGAAUGUUAUUUAUAACUGAGAAUUGGACUUGAAUUGGUGAUGAAAAUCUGUUUUUCUUGUCUGGAGGAGAAUUGGCUCCUUGCCUUCUCAUUCCCCAUAUACACUGUAAUCAAAAGAUUGGAGUACUAUUGUAACCGUCUCACCUGACGGAUCUCAGGACGAGCACUGGAAAAUGGAAAAUUAUCUGCUUAAAAUUCACACUGCUUGUUCUCUACCGUCUACCGGUGGGUUUUCUAUAGAGGCAUCUCAUGAUGUCAGUCAAAGAAGCAGACACAGAAAUCUUAAAUUCUUACUGCCUUGAUAAUGCAUUAUGCGUUGCAUACUUCUGCAAACCACAUCUUCUCGAACAAAUAUGAUACAAGUGAAAGUCCAACAGCUUGUACAAAGAAGAAAAGGGGCUGGGAACCAACCCAAUAAAAGGAAAUCGAGCGAUAAUGGUUGGAUUACUAGACUCACACUUCCUACAACAUGAGCAAAGAUAAUUUCUUUCCUGCCAUGUCUGGUUUAGAUUUUAAGCAGCAGAAUGAACGGAGAACUUCUUGUCUUCCACUGUCUGUAUACUUGGUGAAAAGCCCUUUUAAAAUGAAUUUACAACAUAAAUAUGAAAGCAGAAGCUAACAACUAUAUUUCUACCAGGUACUACGCUUAAUAUAACGUGGAUUUUGAGUAUCCAAACCAGAGCCAAAGUGAGACAACCUAAAUGGAGGGCACCACUCAACAGCCAGCUGACUUUUGCGACGAGUAAAUCAGACUGCACCACAGGAAGGAUGACGUCUUGGCAAAUAUUCCAGAUAGGAAUUACGGUCUCAUAUUCUCAUUACCAAAAAGAAGCACAUCCUAACAAUACAGGAUGCCAGCCAGGUCACAGGAUCCUUGCGUUAAGAAAAAUUGUCAAGUUAAUCAUCAACUAUUCAUCAGAACGCUGAAGUGGGUCCAUUGUAUCUUAACCAGAAGUUGGCUGAUCAUUGCUCUAAGCUUUUCAACCACUAGCUGCUUCCAGUAGCUUGACAAAUGGCUGAAGUGCUAAACCUCCAAAUAAUCAUCAAAAGUUGUGCCACUAGUGCAUUCCAUUAGAGCUUUUGCAUUGAGUUCUCUACCAAAUCUCCAGACAUAGUUGAGACCAACAAGAAGCUCUGCAAUUGUUGCUUCUGUCUUUUCCUGAUUAGCGAAAUAAAGGGUUUGUACGAGAACCACAUUUGUUCUGGAAACUAAAUUCUGGUGCUCAAAGCUUCGCUCAGUCUGCCAUCUAAUUGUGUUAUGAGCAAGUGGAGCUAACCACUCUAAAAUUCCGGUCAUUGCCUCAUUCCAUUCUCCUGCAAGAACUGUAUCAUAAAUGGAUGAAUUCAAGCUUUUGGAAUAUGGCUUUAGUUUUGACCUAAGGGCUGAUCUGAUGCUGGCAGGCAACAUGUUGUACAGGUCAUCUCUUGCAUCAUGACCAAUCAGGUGAGGUGAUACAACAAGCUUUUCAAUCACAAUGAUAAUAUUUGCAUAGUGCAAUCCCAAUGCUGCAGCACCAAGAGUUUCAGGAGGAGCAGUCAACAGCUUGUUUUUGGAACUGAAGAUUGACGACUUACCAGGAACCAAGUUGUUCUGAGCAUGUUGCGCAAUAUUUUCAUCUGUGAUUCCCUCUAGAUUUGCAUCCAAAUGGCAAUUUUUCACGGGAGAGGUAUUACCUCCCAUCAUGCAGCCACCUAAGGGUCCCAUGGUAAUCAACUGAUUGGGCUUUGAAUUUGGGCUUUUACCCUGAGAAUGUGAUGAUUGAUUACGAAAUUGAAAGAAUUUGAGGACAGAUUUGUUUGCUUUCUCAAGUGGGCCAGACUUUGUUGACGACCUCCCAAGAGGAGCUGAAUGUGAGCUGAUUGCAUUAUGUUUCGCAGAAUCAGGGCUUGACGAUGCAAGUGAUUUUCCAAGAAGGCCAGAUAUGCUUACUUUAUUUGUUCUCGACACUGGGCCAGAUUUCCUAGUUACCCUGUUCAACGGUCCAGAGGCAAACCUGUAAAUGUUAUUUUCCGAUGGGUGCACUGAUGACUGCAUAAAAACUACUGAGCGGCUGCGAUGAAUAUGAUCAGAAUCAAGGUUCUUGGACUGUUUGGCUGCCACAUCAACCACAUUACUAAGUCCAAACACAUGCGCUAUCCUACUACAUAUUGUAAACACAGAUCUUGCCAAAAGUAGAAUUGUGUAAUCAUACGUCCUGUUCCAAACAGACAACUGCUUUAGAUGCCUUACCUCCUGCUGCUUCCAAGCAACCCUUUUCUCAUACUCAACCAAACUAAUGCUAUCCGCAUCAUCAUUACUCUUCAUUCUCCUCAAAGUCUGUUCAAGAUCAGCAAGUGCUUCCAUUUCUUGAUAUAAAUUUGCAUUAACCAUAAUGAAUCGUUCCAUCUUCCUCAUUUUCCUAUCCAUCUUUUUCGAGGUGAGUAACCACCCAUAAGAGUCAGAACCACAGUCGACCAGAUCACUAAAGGCCUGCUCGAAACUUUUUAACAAAGGAUCACUGCAUUUCUUGGAUAGCCGACCAACUGCUCUUGCCACAUGUGCCAAAUUCUCCAUCAUCUCUGUCCAUACCAACCUCGCAAUGUAAUCGUCAUCAUCCGAUACAAGCUUCCUGAUACCCGUUGAAUUCAUAAUUUCUUCCCUCAACUUAGCAACCUGCUUAUCACUAAGAGACUGCCACAGAUGAACAAGUUUAGACAUCAAACUUGCAACUUCAAAUGCCAACACUCCUAUUAUAGCCUUUUCUUGACCAACCCCGUGCUUUUUUGAUGGUUUCCACAAACUCCGAAACCAUGAUUCAGAAACCAUCUUCACUUCUACCAACAAUCCACACAGACAGUCUCCAAGUCAAACAAUCUCCUAUCAAAUUACCAUCCUGAAUUCAGACAAACUACAGAUCAAAUUAUGAAUAAAACACAACAAAUUAUCCGAUGAAACAGCUGGCUUCCACAAAUCAUAAGAGAAGACCAGCAACAGCAAGACUCGAGAAAAUUUUUUCAUCAAAUCAGUCUUAUUCCUUUCUCGGCCUUUCUUAACUUCAGCUGGGGGAGGGGGAAGCCAAUUCUGAUACACUAUACUUUUCAGCAAAAGUAUCUACAAAUCUAAUCAUGCAUGACUCUUUUUUUUUUUCAAUUCACUUCAUAGCAGCCAAAGAAACAAUUCUUCAAAAAAGACAUCAAAUUUAGCAUAAAAUUCUUCUAACCGGGGAAGAUCCUAAAAGGGUCCAAAACCCACAAACCAAAAAAAAAAAAAAAAUUCUCAGAAGCACAGAGAACUGAAAUUCCAGCAAACUAAAAUUAGUAGUUAAAAAAAAAAAGAAAUAAAAUUAGUAAUAAAACAAAACACCAACCAAAAAAAGACUAAACACAACCCAUGUUUUCAAUAACCAGGAAAAAGUACAUGACUUCCUUUUCGUGGCAUAUUAUCAAACAGAUUAACAGCUAAAGAAAACAAAACUAAACAAAAAAGCAGCAAAAUGAGCAGUGAAGCUGCUUAAAACUUACAAAUUCGUUGGAAAUGCUAAACCAUAAAGGAAUCAGAGUCAAUAAACAGCACGAAUCACGAGGAAUGAAUGGGAGUUUUUUCUAUCUGGGCGUGAAGAAAGGGGAGGAAAAGAGAUUUGGAAAGUUCAGGGGUGGGCAGGAGCACAGAGGCCACAUGCAGCGGGGAAGGAAGACCUGAAGAAAGGAGCUGGGAUUUUAGAAAUUCGUCAAAGAAACGAGUGAAAAAAUUAAUUAAAUUAUAAUUAACAAAGGAGAUACGUCGCAAUCAUUUUUUACGACCACGCGGAGAAAAUUCGUUUUACAAAAUUGACCUUAUCGUCAAUGCAUAAUGGUAGUAGUAGUUGUGUCCUGACUCCUCACCCUUUCGGACUCCAACGUUGCGCUGGAACUGGAAGCCAAGAUUAGAAACUCUCAAUGUCGGCGGCUCAUGUGCAGGUUCAUUUCAAAUUUUGUUUUAAUUUGACUUCACUCCUUUCAUUUGAUUUGUUGAUAGCUUUUGUUUGAUUUGUUCAUAGGUUUUGAUAAAUCAGCUUCGCGUCGAGGUUGUUGAAUUGAUUGUCUAUUUUGUUGACUUACAUAUCUAAGGAAAUUUUUGUUGUCGAAAUUGUUGAAUUGAUUAUCGGUCUUGUUGAAUUAUUUAUCUAAGGAUAAUUUUUUUUUUAAUGAAAUGAGUCAAAUCGUUACGAGUAUUUAGUCAAAUUAAUUGACGCUUACUACAUUUUAGCUAAGCGAGUGAACGUUAAAUAUUUACUAGUUAUUAACUCGUUAAAAUUGAUUCAACAAGCAUGAUACAUCAUGCAUUGUUAUAAAAUUUUAAAAUUAUCGGGUUCUACUAAAUUAUUAUUCAUCAAAAUUGAAGUGAAUUUUUGUAACUUGUUCAGAAAAUCAAAUGAAGUGUGAUCAAUUUUCCUAAUUGACUCGGUUUGAUUUAGAUUAUGCUGCUAAGAGGUGACCUAUACCAUAUAUAUGAAUGCUUAUUGCAAUUUUACUCAUAAAGCAAUGUUGAUUUUAGUAUACAAGUAAAACUUUUACUAAAAUGCUACUACUAUGUUUGAUAGAAGAAUCAAUUUAGUUCUUUCUAUUUACUUGUACGGGGAAAAAAUCCACUUGUAUCUUAGGAAAGAUUAUUGUUGUCCAUUUCUAGAAUUGAAUAAUAGAGUGGAGUAGAGCGUCUAUUUACAAUUAAAUUAUGAGCGCAAACACAUCGAAACUUCUAAUUCUUGUAUACAACGAAGGGAUAAUUGAUCAUGUUUUUUCAGUGGAGGUAUCAAUAGUUAUUUAAAUGUUAGAAGCAACAUGAUAAACUCCAACCCUUAAGUAUCAGUGUAUCACCAAACAAAGAACCAACAAAAGAGAGAGAGAGAGAGGGAAAUGGAUUUUUUUUUUUUUUUGUCGAUACGAUAGCUUCCUACGCUACGGGAAGGGGGAUGACUUGAAAAGGUUCUGAAAUAAUUCGGAGGGAACUGAACCAUCACGGAUCAGACGAGUACACGACGCACCGUCUGAAUUUUUUAAGCAAUAUCAUAUUUAAUUAUGACAAAUUGAUGGGAGGCAAGGAUUCGCCCCGCUGAACCUUAAUGCAGUGGUGGUGGGCUUGUGGGCUAGUAGUUGAGAAAUGGAUUUCCAUAAUGAGUAAAUGUGUUGAUUGCACACUUUCCGAAAUGAGAAAAAAAGAAAGUUGGUGAAUCCUUGCCAUUAAACGUUUGGCUUAGUGUUUGUGUUGGUAAUACUGUGGCACUAAGAAUGGACAUUUUUGUAAACUUGACCCAAAGUAAGACGUGCAAGUAAUGAUUAAUUCACAGUUGUCACAUUUGGUCAAAGUAUUCCAAUUACCUUUCUGACUAUAAGAAAAUUGCCUUCUUUUUUGAUUGGUCCCAUUUCUAAGCUUGAAAACGUUUUAAUUGGUUUUUUUUUUUAAACUUGGGAGAAAAAUAAAAGCUCAUAAUGAGUAAAAGAUAAACCAAAAUGGUUGACAGUAGGAUCAUCAGUUAACAUCUGUAUUAGGUAAACCAAUUUUAAAUCUUUACAAGGUAGUUUAACUGGCAAGUUUGUCAAGAAGUGUGAAUCACAUUGAAGGGAUAGAAUAUGCAAUGGCAUGGCUUAUUAAUAAGUUGUGCUUUGUCAUUGCAAUGAUAAUUACUGAAUUUAGGCUUUGUUUGAUUAUCUAAUUCAAUACUUAAAUUUAAUGGAUUGAGAUCUUAAUAUAUUCAUACGCGUUUGAUAACUAAAAAUUGAACGUUUGAAUUAAUUAAGUGAUACUGAAUUUCUUAGACAAAAAUUAUUUUCCAAAAGUAAAUGAUGAGUUAUUUACUUAUCACUUAAUAUGAUAUACACUCAAAUGUAUCAUGUUCAGUACUUAAUAAUUUAACAAAUUCAAUUUUCAAAUUUUAGAUUUUAGUUUUCAAAAUUUAAUUUUAUCAGAUGCACCAUUAAUCUAUAGUUAUGAAGUGCUGGACAUAUUCGGAUGAAACUACGUAAUUUCACAAUCAAGAAUCACAAAUUCUAGAUCUUUAUUAGACGGCAAAUGAUACUAGCACUCUCAAAAAAAUUCAAGCACUUUAUCUCGUCUUUUGUUUUAAAAGGAAGGGUAGAGUACCCCAAAAAAAAAAAAAUUUUUCUGGAAGUAUCGAUCAUUAUUGAGAAAAUCAUCUUCCUUCUCACUCGGGUAAUUGUGAAAAUCCAUGUCUGUACAAAUCUACCUACUAAAAUUAUUAGCAAAUGGAGACCCUUUUCUCUUUGCAUAUCAGUCUCUGAUAUUUGAUUCUGAAUAUUAGCACAACUUUAAAGGCACCAAUUAUAAUCAUCAUAACGAUGCCUAUCAUAACAGCAGUGAAAAAUUUUGUCAUAAUACAUAAAAUAAUAUAACUGCUUUGAUUGUUCUCCUGAAUCAUGUUGCUCAUUGCUUAGGUAAAUUUGCUAAGGAUGUUUCUGAGACAUGGCCUUGUUUGGAAUGUUAUUUUUAGGAGUUUUUGUUCAAAAACGUACUAUAAUAAUUUGAUGUAUGUGAGGUAAAGAGUUAAUUAGGAAAUGUGUCCGCGAACAGCGUAAAAAUAUUUCAACAAAAAAUGAAAAAAAAAAAAAUUCUACGGAGAGAUUUCAAUCCAAACUGGGAAUGGGAUCAUGUUAAUUUGUAUUGUAUUUAUUUUGUUUUAGGUAAUGUUAUUUACACUCCUAUUGUAUUAUUUGCACUUUCACUAUCCCAUUUUAAUUUUGAUGAGACCAUAUUAUCCCUAUUCUAAUUUCGUCGCAUACCCUAAUUGGAUGACCAAACCUAGUAUCGUUAAUUUAUGGGCAAGGAAAAGAAAUUAAGGUAGAAAUAAUAUGAUCUCGACGAAAUGAAAAUGGAGUAGUAGAAAUACAAAUAAUAUAAUAGAUGUGUAAAUAAUAUCACCCUUUUGCCUUAAGCAAAGGUAUUGCAAAUUUGACGUAAUGCAAUGUAAGUACUUUUCUGUCAAAAAUACAAAAAAAAAAAAUGUGUUGGAAAUAUCAUAGGGUAAUUUAAUUGUUUAAUGUUAGGCUUGAGCACGUUAGUCCUUGCUACUUUUUUAUUUUCCCACAAACAAAAGGGCCUGGCCCAACUUCAGGCCCAACGUUAGUCCUUGCUCCUUGCUACCACAGUUUACAUUUAGUGAAAUCAAUUUCAAACUUUUUGGCUGGAGAAAAAUGGUUUGAGGUAUAAUAAAAAAUAUAUUCCCUUUCCGAAAGCUGUAGAAGCAUAUUGACUUGUAAAACGACAAAGUACAUCUUUUGCUUUUUUUUUUUUUUGUGUUCAUUAACAAUCAUUUACUUAAGAACAUAUGAAUCAUCCCACAAUAAUCAUGCAUUAAAUUAGCUCAGAUUUCACUCUUUAAGUAAUUAUGAGUAUUUAUCUAUGAUUGACUACUCGAAGUUAAGAUACCAAUGAACGUGUUCGAAUAUAGUAGUAUUUGAAAUAUUAUUUAAAAUAAUUAUUGUAACAAAUUUUUUAAUGUAAUAUAUGUAAAAUAAAACAAGAAUUCGAGAAUAUAAAAAGGUAGUUAGCAAUAGUUUAUUACCAAUGUAAGUAAACUCAUAUUUGAAUCCAAACCAAUAGUUGUUUUUUAUUUUUUUAUUUUUGCACACUUUUUCUCUUUUUUUUUUUUUUUUACCCUAAAAUAGGUGUUUUCACGAACAAGAGCAUGUUUAUCAACUUCCACAUAGAGGUUGGACUACCAAUUAUUUUUAUUUGUAUGAUAGAUGGACUAGUCCCUUCGACCCAAAUGGAUCCGCAAUCAAAAUGUUUGGGCCUGUUCUGUACAUUGCUUUGGGCCUUUUGCAUUGAAAUGGAAGUUUUCCAAGUCUUGCCGCGUCCACGUCACCUUCAGUUAGAUAGGCGUUACGCGCUAAUCCAUUAUUCCUUCUUUAUUAAGCAACCACUUCAAUUUCCAUCUAUUUAUGCAUUUGGCCCCACAUCUGCGGAAAGUCUGUGACCUUUUCCCUCACUUCACCUUCCGCUGUCUCCUUCCCUCUCAAUUUUUUCAUUCAUCCAUUUAUUUUCUCAAAAGAUCCCCAGAUUUCCUCUGGAAAUUUGUGGGAUUCUAAUUUUCACUCAUUUUCUAAUCUUUCCUUAAAUUCUAAAAAGAAAAAAGAAAAGAAAAGAAAGCUCAAAAGCAAGAAAAAGGAAAAAAAAUAUAAUCUAAUGGGGCAACAACAGUCAAAAGAUGAAUUACUGUAUCAGCAAGUGAGUUAUGGAAAUACUGAAGGGAUUAAAGCUCUUCGCAGGGAUGGCGCUGGCCUUGAGGUAAUCCUUAAAAGAUGAAAAUUUGUACUUAAUUUUAUCAUCGACUUAUAUAUAUUUAUGCAAUUUGAAUUGACAUUUUUGUGUAUUUGAUCAAAGUUUUGAUUUUUAGAAGUUCAUAUUGAUAAAGGGUCUAUGUGUCUAAAGGACUUAAUUGCAUGAGGGUUUUAGAUUUUAGGCAAGUUUAAUGCUAUUGUAUUCAGUUUCUGGGGGAAAAAGAAGAAGAAGAAGAAGAAGAAGAAUGAUUCUGUUAUGCGUUAAUAUGAUUAUUCAGAAAAUUAAAUUAGUAAUGUUCAAAAUGGGAGAAAAGGGUCUCCGGUGUGCUACAUUUUAGUGCAGCAAGCCUAUCAGUACGAAGACUUUAAGGUUUGACCCUAUCCAUGAUGCUCUGACAAUUUCGGGCACUUCUGUUGAAAAUUAGGAGAUAUUGGGAUAGAUGGUUGAUGAGUAUGGCUGCCUAAUUUGACGUGGUGCGGCCACUAGGAAUAUUUUCUACUGGCAGGUUGUGUUUUACCUUAUAUUAGUGAAUGUGUGAUUGCCUCAUGUACUAAAGUGGAAUGUCUUUGUUUUUAAAUGGAUUUGAGUUUUAUGAAUGAAUUUUUUGUGCUCUUAUAUGAUAAUGAGUUGGCUAUACAUGUGGAUCUUUAUGGUGUGGAAUGGUAGGAUGUAUGAAUAUGAAUUGGUUUUUGUGGCAGUGGCUUGAUAAGGAAGGGAAGACUCCGUUAAUUGCAGCUUGCAUGAACCCGGAGCUUUAUAAUGUUGCAAAGACCUUGGUUGAGUUGGGUGCCAACGUCAAUGCUUAUCGCCCUGGUAAUGCAAGUUAUAUAUGUAGCUAAUGCCAUGUGAUUUACUGUUGUCAAGUUGCUUUUAUUCUUUCUAGCAUGUGGAAAAUUUUCUCAUACCUAGAUUAAGUACAUAUUGGAGUUCCAGCAUGUAUUUUUGUAAAAUGAUUGACUUGAAGAAAGCUUUCUUACUUAAUGAGUUUGUUUAGGCCGUCAUGCAGGAACUCCUUUACAUCAUGCUGCAAAAAGAGGACUUGAACAAGCUGUCAAAUUACUUCUGUCUCAUGGAGGUGUGUUUUGUUAGCUGUUUUAUUCAUUUGGCAGUGGCAUUCAAGAUUUACGGUUCUGGAAGUGUUUGUCAUACUUUAUCUUCAUUUAACUUGACUGAUGAAUUAAUUAUUGCAUGUGUUUCAGCAAAUGCACUAGUGAUGAAUGAUGACUGUCAAACGCCACUUGAUGUUGCUAGAAGCAAAGGGUUCAGCAAUGUUGUCCGUGCAAUAGAGGUAUUUUAGCACAUGCACAAGCAUUUUCCUUUGUGUACAUCUCAUGAAUAUUACGAUGUUGAUUGUUGUUUUCUGAUGCUGCUCAGAGCCAUAUCUGCUUGUUCUCUGGUUCCAUGCGCGAGCUUUAUGGUCCAGGAUUUCUUGAACUACUUGCACCACAGUUACUGUCCAGAAAAGUGUGAGUUCAGUGUUCAGUUUGAGUAAAUUAUCUUGAUUUUAUAAGUAUAAUAAUAUUAUCAUUUUACAUGAAAGAGGUACUUAGAGAUCGGUUAUUCAAUGAUUUUUCCAUUUGAUUUGCUGUGUACUGUGGAGUUUUUUAUCGAUGGUUUUAUCAGUUUACUUGAAAUAGUUUAUUAGUUUUAAUUUUUGUAUCUGGUGGGAUGGGGGAGGCAAUUACAGUUCACUACCUCAUGGCGUAGAUACAAACCUCUGGCUUCAUACCUUUUGCAGACUUGCUCUUGCUCUGGUCUCAUUGAUGUUUAGGUUUAGGGUCAAGCACAGUUGUCAGAUUGAAGUGUGGCACCUUUGAUCUGAAUUUACUACAGAAUAAUCACAUUACACUCUGUGAUUUCUCAAGAUAAAGAUGUAUUGUAGAUGCGAUCAAGAAGAUCAAAUGAGAGUGUUUAUUGUAUUAUCGAGAUCAUCUGAGUUCUGUAAACUUGGUCUGUUGUUGUGGUGUGCGCUUUGGGUGUACCUUCAUGAACUCCUUGGUUGAGUAUGUGAAGUAGAAGUCUUCUAGAGAUGGCUCGUGCUAGGAAUGGUGGCAUUGGGUGUUAACUAUUGCAUUUAGGUGUGCUUGUUCCUGCUUGUUGCAUGUGGCAGUGAGAGUCUGACACAAGUGAGGGCCUAGUUGGUUUUAGAUGCUUAUUAAGUGGUGGUUCUGAGGUGUUACUCUGUCAGAACUUAUUGAUCUUUGAUAAGGUUGAAGUGGCAGUUAACUAGUGUUACUCUUGUAAAGAAAUGGAUGCAAUGGCAAAGAUGGUUGAGACUGUGGAUUCACAGGUUAGGUGCUCUUGGGAGGUUGGUAAAGGUUGUACUUUGGCCCAUGUUCCUUGGGUAAUUAGUGUUUAUCUGGUUAUUCUUUUCUUCUCUUUUGAGAAUCAAGAUCAAUUUGUAAUAUUGAUUUUUGAAUACAGCAGGGCAUGUUGAGUCAUUGACAGGAUUAGUGAAUAUAAUUGCCCUUUUUGCUCGGAUUUAAUGCGAUUUGUGGAUGAACAAGAUAUAGGGCGCCUUCUCCCUGACGUUAACUUUUCUAAAGAUGCCUGAAGAAAAGAUACUUUUCAAAAGAAAAAAAAAUAGCCAACAUUUGUAGCAUAUUUAAUUUCAAAGGUUUAAAAGCCAUAAAGCCGUUUAGGAAAGCUCCUUGCAGACUGCUGAUAAGUAUUAGCUUUUCACAGCUUGAAAUUAAGCUAAAAGGAGAAAUGAAACUUAAAACGACACUUAUAUUAAUUUGUUUGCUUUUGGGGAAUUGGAGUACGCGUGUUCUUCAUUUGAUGCAAGUGCCUCAUCAUGAGUGACAUGCUUUGUUUUUUUUAUCUGGAUAAUUCUCUCUAUUCUUGCUAUAUCUUUGAAUGCUAUGCCUUUCUUGACUUUUACUCGGUCAUCUUAGUUAUUACCUAUUGCUGGAUUUAAGAAUUUUCUGAGUCUUGCUGGCUUAAUUAAGUUAUUGUCUUAUUUUGUUGAUUUUAUAGCUGGGUGGUUGUUCUACCAUGUGGUUCCCGGAGUCUUAAGAAGCCUUUCAAGUUGGAGCUUGCCAUAUAUUCAAAUGCACAGGUACCCUCCAAUCUAAUCAGUCAACCUACUGUAGGCCUCUUAUUCAUUUAUGUUUCAUCAUAUUAUCUAACUUUUCUCUUAGUUAUUCCAGCUCCUGUGUAUUCUUAAACUUUUUAUAAGAUGGUGGAAAGCAGUGUUUGCUAAAUUCUACAAUUCAAACAUAGUUGAGAAAAAAGAGAACAGUUAUUGAUCCUCCAACUACAUGUGAUUGCACAUUUCUCAACUUUAUACUCAUACUUGUUGGUAUUGUACAGAUAUAUCUUCAGUUCUGAUUUUGUUGCAAGUGCUCUUCUGCGGCUGUGCCGAUUAAACCAUUUUAGAAGUUUAUUAGUUUCUUCUUUCCAAUUUUCAUGAAGCAAAUACAAUGAUAAAGAGAACUUUCUUGUAUUUUGUGUCAUAUUUGAUAUGAUGAACUUUGGUAUAUGUUUCCCUGGAGAAGUUUGUCCUGAUAUAUGAAGCAUCCAUUUCUUUUGCCAAGCAGACCACAUUAUUUCAUGAUAUUUGUACAAUGAGCUACAAUUGCUAUGUUUUAGAGGGACAAUCACUACCUUGUUCUAUGUGUUUCUGUAAUUUUUGUGGGGAUUAGCUCAUUUUUGUUAAAAGGGAUUCAACAAAUUCUUAUAUAACAGUUAUGCUGAAUCUCUUUUCUUUUUGUCUGGUCAAUUCAUUCAAUUUCCUUAAUCCACAACCACAUUAGAAUUUAGGCCUUCACAUCUUCAUUCAUUGCAUUCUAUCUACUCGAACGGUUAUUGGUUUAGUUUUUUUGAAUUAUUGCUCCUCCCAAGAGGUGCAUUGGCUGUUGCAUUUUGGGUAUGAUCUCUUACUGAUAAAAAUUCUCUUUCCACGAGAAAAAACAUGCAUUAAAUUCCUGCAAUUAAUAUGUAUCAGAAUUUUGGUGUCCUAAUCAACAGUAGUUCAAGGAUUUCAUCAUGGAAACUUGCAAAAGGGAGUGAAAAUCAAACCCCUUCCAGAGGCUGAGGCACUGAAUUUGCUCAUUUAUGUUGCUUAAGACAGAUAUUCUGAACUGUGUUUCAAAUCCUUAAGUAUUAUAUUGUCAUUGUGUUUCACUGACAAUGCACUCUGAUGCAUGCAUGAUCAGGAUGCUCAACCUCGGACAAUUGUUGCUUUGUGGAAAGCCAAUAUGGAGGAACCUAACUUUAGCCAGUCUGAUCCAACGGUCAUCAUAACUGGCAAUGGCACUAGUAAAUUCUCAAUCACUUGAGCUAGAUGUAUUUUCUAAUUUCGUAGCAAGUCCAUAGAUAGAUAAUUUUGGUUUAUCUUCUGCCUAGUCCCAAGACGCUGGAGGAGGCGGCGAGGUAUUACAUACUCCCAAGUGGCUAGGAGUAAGUACAUCUAAUUUUAGACUGGCAUGAAAAGAAUGGGCAUUUAGGAUUUUUAGGAGAUUUUGAAGAUUGUAAACAGAAGAGUUGGACCAUAUCUCUGAGAGCUUAUUUCUUUUUUCCCCCCUUAUCUAGGAAUCAAAUGAUAUUAGAGGAAUUAUGUCUGAGAUUGCUUUUUGCAUAGCAUUUUAUUUUGUGGUAUGACAAGAGCAAGCAGACUGGUCUAUUCUAGCUGUAGGCAGCAGUUGUAACUGAAUGCUUGGAAUCAAUUCUGACUUUUUAGCUUCCAUAAAGUCUACUUCUGAUCAUGUUUUAAAUUAGGCUCCAAAUGAUUGUGUACCCAGUGUUCCUAUAUACCUCGAGUGACGGCUAUCAUAGUGGGCUUUGGUAGCCAGAUGAUAAUUUUGAGCUAGUGGAAAAUGGCUUAUACUGGAAUCUGACAAGUACUUUCCACCAAAGAAAUGAAAUUAACUAAUAUGUCUUCUACUGGAAAAUACUUCUAUUUGGUUGAGCGAACUCUAGAAGUGCCAAAAGAAUGGAACCUUAGUUUGUCAAGAUGUUAAUGCUUACACUUCUAGGAUGCUGAGCUUUCAGGUUUGCAAAACUCUGAAAAAUGCCAAAACAAUUGAACCAUAGUUUGUCUUUAUGUUAAUAUGCCUACCCUUGAGUGUGAUAGUUAAUCAUACCUUUUGUAUGAUUGAAGGCAUGGUGUUGUAUACUUUGCUAUAAGAUUUGAGUAAAAUAUUGCCAUGAAAAGUACAGUAAAUCUUUUUAGAUCCUACAAGACUGAGUAACGAUAUUCUAGUUUCUUAAAGGCAACUGCUUGGGGGGUCUGGAGGAGAGUUGUGGUGCUUAUUUGGUUUUUGAUAAUUUUUCACAGUUAUUGAAUAAUGAACCAACAAACAAAUCUAAUGAUUACAUCUUCUGUCCAAUUACAGGGACACGCGUCAAACUUGCAGCUGCUAAUGAAAGAGACAAGCAACAGUUGCAGUGGUUUUGCAAUGCAUGCAAAGGAAUUCCGCAGGUCAGACAACUUCAAUUGCUUAUUCACUUAAACUAGAAAAUUACUCUCCGUUCCAUUGAAAAUGUCAUGCUUUCCAUUUUGGUCUGUCCCAAAAUGUUUGUCAUUGCCAAAAAUGGUUGUGAACUUUAUCAAUAAUUUCCAAUGCUUACCCUGUCUCACCAAACUAAAAAGUACGUAUUAUUGGGCCCAAAAGGUCUUCCAUCAAGCAACUUUGUUGUUUAGUUGAUUGAUAUGCACACAGCAACCAUUUUGAAAUGUUGCCUUGCGUGUCUUGAUGCUCUAAUUCUAAUUGGAGUAAGCCAUAUGCCAACCAAUAAAAAUGUGGACCCAGCUGUCAUGUUUUGUCCAUCCAUUCUCCACCUUUUAUAUUCAAACAAAAGGCAAAAUGGAAAGCAAAGAUGAAUUCUUCAAAAGUUGGGAACUUUUCAUAAUAAGUUAAGAGUCCCGAAAAGCGUCAAGCUUUUUGGGACGAAGGGAGUAUCUUCUUUGCAUUGUAGUUGUCCCUAAACCAGGAUGUACUAUGAACCAAUCAACUUUUUAGGACUCAAAGUCAUGGGUUUGGGUGUUGUUGCCUCUUGCUCCUCGUCCCUCCUCCUCUGUCCCUCUGUUGCUCGUGAAUUUUAAUGCAUAUAUGAUGUAUAUGCACAAAGGAAGCAGAGGUUCCUUCCAAAUAUAUAUUUGACACUCCUUGAGAAGAGUAUAUUUGGCUAGUUAACUUUUUUUUUGGUUAGAAAAUAUCGUACUAAUUAGUGGAUUGGAAAUUGAAAUUUCAGGUUGUUCAUCCAGCAUUUCCUUUCAAUACUCAAGUUAAUGUUGCUCCAGCAACUGCCCCUCCGGAAGAUGUGGAAUUAGCUAUGGCAAUUGAUGCCUCCCUACAGUCUGCUAUGCGUCCACAUCUGGGUCCUCACCUGGUAUCUGGAGCAGAUGCAUCCACAAGUAGGACUAAUUCUGAAUGCAUCACGGCUAAUUGCGGAAGCUCCAUUUCUGGGACAGCUCCACUGCCGAAGGGAGAAAAGCUUGGAUAUAAAGACCAGGAAACCAGUGCUAGUGGAGUUGUGAUUCAUCACAGCCAGAUACAGAGUGACUCCUUAGGUGUCCAAUCAACAGUACAGAACUCUGUGCAAGCCUCCUUUCCAUCAGCUCCACCUGUUGCAGAUUCAGCUGUAGAUGAUGGCCCAAUUCACUACCCGUCAAUUGACGCUAGUCCUCUUGAUUUCUCUUCACCUCCUGUGGAGAGGGUAGAUGCUAAACCAGAGGAAAGAAAAGAUACAGGUGCUUCUUCCUCUUGUGUGAUAUGCUUGGAUGCGCCUAUUGAAGGAGCAUGUAUACCUUGUGGUCAUAUGGCUGGCUGCAUGUCUUGUCUAAGUGAAAUUAAAGCAAAAAAAUGGGGUUGCCCUGUUUGUCGUGCGAAGAUAGAUCAAGUUGUACGCCUAUAUGCUGUUUAACUGUUCAAGUGGGAUAUGUUCAUGCUGUAAAUGGUGAGUUCUAUCUCAGAGCAUAACUUCUGAUUUAAUUUUCGUUCAUCCAAGUAUCAGUUAUAUGUUUGUUCAUUGCUUUCAUGCUGUCUAGAGAAUUAACGGGCUCUCUUGAAAGCCUUUUCUUAUUUGUCAAUAAAUUUGUCAGUAUCGCAAUUUUCUUUGGUGGCUUCCUUGUAUUGGAUGCAACUGUUUAUGAAGUUACAAAGAAUUUCCAGACCCUUUUUAAGUACUAAGAUAUGGAGUAGACAAUAUCAGAAUGUGUAAUCACCUUCUCAAAGCAUGGAACUACACUAGUAUGGCCAGAAACUGAUAAUUUGGUGCUACCAACUGAAUUACUGUAGUCUUUGGAAUUUGCUACCAGCCCCUUAAGCUUGCAAGAAAUAGAUUUACUUAAAUUGACUAGUAAAUGCACCAUCAGUGAGGUUAUUCUAAUUCUUUUCAUGGUACUGCAGAUGGAAAGUAUGAGAUUGUAUGAGAGAGACGGUCAACUACUUUGAUGGAUCCUUGCCGUUAAAUUCCUGCUUCCUGUUACAGGAGAAGCAAAAUAAGAGACAAGUUAUGGUAUUAGAACUUCCAACGUUCUGAUACAUCUUUAUGUAAUAUAUUGGACUUAAAGCAGAUUUUGCGUUUUGUAUCUUACAUUGGUUGAUGUGGCAAAAGUCGGUGUAAAUGUGUCUGUGUAGGAAGAGUUAAUAUGAAAUACAAAUGUACUGUUGAUGUCCUUUUCUUCUAAUGUAAAGGUUCAGAACCAAAGUGGUUAUAUGUUACCCGAAGCUAAGUUUUUAUAUGUGCUUGAAGGCUGAUGUGGCUUCCCAACUUGGCUUUGGCCCAUCAUCUCAGAAAAGUAUGUAUUAUAUUGUAAACAUGAUUGGUUAGUAUGGAACUUGGAAAAAUUAGAGCCAAGCUUUUGGUUCUUGUUGUAGCUUUUGACUUACUUUAGUUUGUUGCGUUGGACAAACUUGAGUGACAAAUGGAUUCUUUGGUGCAGGUGCUCUACAAAGAGAGAUCUUUGGCAUUGUAAUUUUGCAUCUAUUUUCUUUCUGUGCUGCUUUCUUUCUGGCACAGGUCUUUCUGAACUUAUAAACUGACUUAGGUUCUCAACUCUCUGUUAAGCAUAAUGCAGAUUGCAUAAUGGCCCUCCGUAUCACACCCUUCCUAGCAGUUGGUACAACGUUUCAGUAAAUCAAUCUUCUGUUCAAGGCUGGCUCAUCUCUUUGAAAUCGAACGAAAAAGAAAGCAUGUUGAAGCAUUGGCAAUGAAAGAAACAGAAGAAUGGUAACUUGUGGUUAACUUAAUGGCAUGGCAUGUUACACAAGAAGUACUUGGAAUGGCUGCGCAGCUGCCCUAAUGAACUGGAGAUCUAAAGUAUUUUUCCAUUUGUAAAGUUGAAAGUCCUUUAAACUUUGUAACCAGAAAAUUAGACAACAGUAGGAUUUCCUACGUCUUCUCUCUUCUUCUGGUUUUCAAAAAAUCAGAUUGACUUCUAGCUCUCUUGCCUCCUGCUCUUGGAGCCCGUACAUUAUGCUGUUUAAUCUCCCAGAACUUUGCUGAAGCUGAGAAAUAAAAAGUAACAACUAUUACUAUGAGCAUGCUAGUGCUUAAGUAAAGCUCAGAGAGCAAGUGAGGAUAUAUAUCCCUAGGGUACAAGACAAAGAUGAAAAAAUAGUCCUACCAUAUGAAGUCCAGGCAAAUGCUUAUAUAGAUCGUCAUUUUAAGGCCCAGCAUUACAAGCUUAAUAUGUACUUUUCAGACUCUGUAUGACAUAAAAUAGGAGUACUAGUUUACAUGAGCUUGGUUGGUACCUCAAUUUGCUCACUUCCAUGAUUUCCAGGUUACCUACAUUAGUCAAAGCAGUAUUAGAUUUAGUUGGAAUUAGGGACCCCGCAUAGUUUAUUGACCUACUUAGGUACAGACUAUCAAUAUGACCAAAAAGAAUAAACUUAGGAUGAAACCCCAGUCUCCAAUAUGGGUCGAGGAAAUAGGACAAAACAAACUGAACAAAGGACCGUAGUGCCCACAGCUAGUACAUUUCUUGUCAGUGGCACGUAAAUUUUCAUCCGAGCUACAACUAUAUAAAUAAAUGUGCAAGCUGUUUUCACAUGUUGUAGGUUAAAGAAUUCACGUUUGGAUUGCAAUUUUCUGGAGUUUUUGUAAAAAAUAUACUGUAGUGAUUUGAUAUAUGUAAGAUAAAAAGGUGAUUGAAAAAUGUGUUUAAAAAAAUAUAGAGAUUUUUUGGUAAAAAAUCCCUUUUCAAACAAGGCAUUUGUUUUUAACCCUUCCCUCCCUCCCCUAAUCCCUCUAUUCCUCCAAACCUGACAGUCAGUUUCGAACCCUAAUAUACUAGGCGGAGCAAGAAGUUCCUGGCCAAUAGCUCCAACUGCUUUUGGUUAGGUUAAAGAGCUAGUUUGUACUCCUAUUAUGUAAAUUUCCUAGUUCUCCAAAAGAAAAGAAAAAGUGAGCAUUAACAUCUACAUCAACAAAUCUCUCCUUCCAAAAACUUUUUUUUUUUUUUUUUUGGAUUUGUUCUUUCAUUUAUUUCAUAUCCUUCUCCACUGUCUGUUGAAGCCUUAUUUUCCUUGUCUUUUCUUUCUUUUUUUAAAGUUUAGGGAGGAGGUGGUUGGUAUUACCAAUUUUAGAGGCUGUUGGCCCUUUGCCAACAUCUUACAAGGUUGAUGCCAUACCGGGGCAUUUGGUUUAUUACUCGACUUUCUUGUAGGUUUGAGCUUAUUUUCCCAAUGCUAAUAACUAUUGUAUUGCAAUAGUUCCAAACACCAAUGAAGAUGUUCAAAGAACAUACAAUAUUAAACACUAAAUUAAUCUUGUCAUAGGCAGCAUAAUGUCAAUAAGAAGUACGGUUGUUAAUCCAUGUCACUUUUCUUUUUUCGAAAAUUCCCAACCCAUAUUUCAUUUUCUCUUCUUUUUUUGGGAAAUUAACUUCUUUUGAUGGACUGAUUUGCUAAGGUCAAGAUUCCAUCAACUUGGUAAUAAAAUCUCGAGAAUUUUUUCAUCUUUUGAUUCUAGGAUACUCUUACUCUGAAUUGGAAUCGUUGAUCAUUCCAUCAAGUGCCACGCGUUAGAUUUGCACAUUGAUUUCCUCCUACAUAAGUAAACGGAAGAUUAGCAGCAUAAGCUCUUACUUUAGGUGAUUAAUAUGACUUUAAAGUUCAUUACAACUUUAAUUAAAGUAAUGAUCUUUUGCUUGCUAUACAUUAUAUUCGAUUUGCUUGUGCAAUGGAAUAAUUAUUGCCUUUUAAUUACACUAGGUACAAACACGUUUGGAUUUUUCACGCGCUGGAUUGGAAUGACCAAAAUCAAUUGAUUAGCAUGUCAUAUUUUCUUGAAUAUGAUAGUUUAGGCUUUUUUCUUUUUUAGGAUACAAUUACAAAAUAUAAUGAAUGACAAGUAUAAUUCAAUUCCUAUUACCUCAUACAACGUAAAUCACCUUCAUGGUUCUCUCGAACCUAGAAAUUUGAUGAAAGAUUUGAAAUCCAUUCAAAUCUUUCUGGUUGUUUAGAUUGUUUGAGAAGCAUUCGGAUUCAUAAUUCAACAAUUAUCAGAAUCCAUUUUAAAUAUUACACAAUAAUUCGUGAUUUACAAAUUUAAAUACCUCCUAAAUAAUCUACAUAAUUAGAGGGAUGUGAGAGAAUUUUAAUCUUUCGUCAAAUCACUCAAUUUAAACGCAGAAAAGUUAUUAGUGAUUAGAAAGAGGUACAAAAUGUUGAAGUAAGACAUCAAAUGUUGCUGAAAAACCUGUCUCUUGCCUUGUACGCUUUAUUGGAUGCAUGCCAUGGAGAAGGCACACAUAAAAGUAUAUGCCUGUAAAUGAAUAACCCUCAUGGUAAAAGUAAACAAAAAAUGUUUUCGUACCUUAAAGUCUUUAUCUAGCAUUUGCUUUUGCUUUACAUUUUUCAAGAGAUGCAUGCAUUGAGGACAGCGUAAAUGAAUUUGCACAUGGAAAAUCCCAAAUUUUAGAAACAUCCGUCCAACUCUACAUCCAAAAGAUUUGACAAACAAUGACAAGUACCAAGGCAAAACAGCCCCUUGACCUAAAUUACCAUUUGGUCCUUGUAGAAUGUUUUUUCUUUUACCAGGGUUUUCCUUUUUUUUUUUUUUUUUUUUGAGCUAGCUCACAUGUUAAUCUCAUGUUAACAUUACCUAUACGACGUGUUUUUGUUCUUUUUUCUUUUUUCAAUGAUGCGCUUUUCUAUGGAUUAGCUUUGUUAAAAUCAUUAGGGGUAAAAAAUUUAGGAAGAAGUGAAACACAACACUAUAGUUUUGGGGACUAAAAGAUGGAAAAUGGAAGUUUAAGGAAUGGUUUUUUUACGUUUUUCGUGAACACGUUUUUUAAUUAUUUUUUUAUUUCAAAUAUAUCAAAUCGUUACAGUACAUUUUUUUUUUAAACAAAAACUCAUAAAAAUAGCAAUUCAAACGGGAGGUUAACCGAUGGUUUUCACCUCUUUAUUCUCAAUUUUACACAGUUACCAUAUCAAUAUGCUUUUAGAACUUAAUGGAAAUGUUAUAAAGUCAUUAAUUUAUUAUAGGAUAGGUUUGUACAUGACUGUCAUAUGAACAUACACAACCUGCUUUUUGACGCGAUUAUUUUUUCCUUGGAUAGGGAAGACAAUAUGCCAUGAUACCCUCUCCUCCUAGGAAGGCAAUAAUCGUUCCACAAAGUAGUGUGCUAGAGCUCAACAAGUAGGCUUGAAUCUAUUAGCAAAUUAUUUUCUCCCAAAAAGAAAAGCAUGUCUCACUCAUAAUUAGAAACUUCAACAUACGAGUCGUACAAGGCAAAAAAAGGUGAUUGGAUUGUAUUGGUCAAGAUUUCUCUAGCAUGUUAGCUUUUUUCUUUUGUUCAAAUACUAGUAUGCUAAACUUUCUUGGAGUUACGUAAUUAGUAUCAUGAUGAAGUUCAUAUAAAAGCUUUUACCUAUAACUGUGUUUACUUACAGCAUGAAUACAAGCCCCAAAAAUAGAAGAAUCCCCUGAGCAAUUAUAUAUGGCUAUUAACAAUUUCUAGUUCAUUAAUUCCAUUUUUAGAUUUACUGCAAAAUUUGUUGCUAAUGGCAAAUUUGUUGCAGUUAUUUACUGCAAAAUUAGGCAGCAUGCUAAGUUCAAAACCUGCAGUUGCAUGCAUGAACUACCGCGGAGGCCAAACCGCCAAGUACUUCACAGAGACUGUGAAUACUAGACUGGAAAAAAAAAAAUUUAUCUUCUCGAGCCAAUAACAAAUGUACUAUCAAACCUUUUCAAGUACUUUCAAUUCCCAACAAAUCCCACCGUAAAAUUGACCACUGAAAUUUCACUGUUGGAUUACUCCAAACUUCCAUUUGUAAUUUAUUUGUUUUUUCAGCAAUCUUAAUCAAAAUUAUAUAUACGUUCCUAUUUGUAGUAUAUAUAUUACAUAAAAGUAUUUAAUCUGCAAAGAAUAUAUAUAUAUAUUAUAUAUAUAUGUAUAUGUAUGUAUGAACUUUACUGCAAGCACUAACAGCUUUGAGUUAAAUCCGAAAGUCAUUGUCGUGAGCGAAGACUAUGUAGCUCAGCCACUCACCUGUGAAAGCAACAAGACGAGAAUGAUACAGAUAGAGAACUUAUCAACAAGGCAUUCUAUUUCAGCUUUCAUAUCAGAAGACAAGAUUGGUUAAUUAGGACCAUUUUCAAGUAAAAUACGCCAUUGCCAGUAAGCAGCCCAUGUGUAAUGUGUUAACAAGAUGAAAGAGAAUUUGAUGGUCAAUUUCAACUUCUAUAUGCAGUAAAAAGAACUUCCAGAUGCGGUAGUAAUUUGAGUACAUAUUUUGAUGAAGAAGCCAAAAGUAGCUAGGAUUCAAUUUUGAUCGUCAACACUCACCAAUCAAGAUGUUAGGACAUGUUUUGGCUCAAAAAAAAAAAAAAAGGGUUCACAAACAAGUAAAAAUAUUAAAAACACAUUUAAUCUACCUAAAAGCUUAAGACCCUGUUUGGAUUGGUAUUUUAUGAGAAAUUUUAUGUUUGCUAUGACUAUUCCUUUUAUAUAUUUUUCAAUCAUUUUUAUUUUAUUUUAUAUAUAUCACAUCUUUAAAAAAAAGUACUACAGUUUUUUUUUUUCCAAAAUCUCGUCAAAAAAUGCAAUCCGUGCAACCUCUUCGUUUUUUUCGAUGAUGAUGACAUAAAAAAAUUCACAAACAACUAAGAAGCUAAUUAUAGUGCAAAUGUACAAAAUUAUUACUUGGUUUAAAGAUAGCACUUAUACAAUUUUGUCUUUUUUUUUUUUAAACAAAGGAGGAUGGGAUUUAAAAAGGAGGAAGGAAGGAUUUUAAUUGAGAAUUUCUAAUUCCUAGAACCUCAAUCUUAUAGAGACUAGUACUUAUACUUCAAUUUUUCUAAAAUUUAAUUAAAGAACCUCCAAUCUUGAAUAUCUUUUUGUACAUGAAUACUCUAGGGCCGUGAUAACAUUGGUCCUCUUUGGAUAGAAGAAUAUUUAGAAUAAAUUACGGUAAUUCUUUUUGCAAUGUGAUGUAUAAGAAAUAAAGAGAUGAUUGAAAAGAUUAAAAAAAAAGUAUUAAAAAGGUAUUUAUGAUACAAACAAAUAAUUUUUUGAUAAAUAAUUCCUAUCCAAACACACAUGAUCCUCAAGAACAUGGUCCUCCGCAUUCCAUGGAAAAAGAUAGAUGGUGAUGAUCUACAUUGAAAUGCAUUUAUCAGCACAUAUUAUAGUUCUUUGACAUUUUUGCUGUUUUGAUGUAUGUACAUGGAAGUAUGGAACUAACCAUUCCUCAAAAAAAACAAAAACAAAAACAAAAAGGAACUAACCACUCGAAGGACAUGUUCGUUAUUUAUACAUGGACUGAGCAACUCUUUGGACGAGCAGUUUAAAUUGUUGUAGUACAACCCUUUUAUAGGCUUUUCAAUGUAGAAUUUGACUGACUGUUUUUGAAUUGCAACAGAAACCAACCAAAGUUCAUGCGGAGGGCAUAAAAUUUUCCCUCUGUACAAGACUAAUCCCAGUACAACUUUUCCAGUAGUAAAAUUUUCCUGAAAAUUCAUAAAAGAAAGUGUAACAUAAUUGCAAGAAAAAGUUUGCUUGCAAUUAUGGACCAUUUGAAAACUAGUGUGGUUACAUGGCUAUAAAAUUAGUGACUACUCUAGAAACCGCAAACAGAAGUUCAAGUUCAAGGAUAGGAUAUCUUCCGAUUGUGUUUUCCUAUCAACAAAGUUUCUAAAGAUUGAAGGUUCCUUCUUUAGUAUGAAAUUUCAUUUAAAUCAAGAAAGUUUUAAAGUCCCAUUUGGACUGCUAUUUUUAGGUGCGGUAGCGAUUUAAUGUAUAUAAGGUAAAAAGAUGAAUGAAAAAUGUUUUGAAAACAAACGUAAAAAUUUUUCGACAGAAAAUCACAAUCCAUACAAACAAGGUACUCUAUUUCAAUAAACACGAUUUUCUGAAUUCAAUAAACACGAUUGCACUCUAUUUUGAAGGAGUUAUUAGUAGCCUAAAUUUUUACUAAUUAGUAAGCGUUCUUUGCAGCUUCUUAAUCUUUUCUUCUUCUUUUUUGUUUUUUCCCUUUUGUUUUGACAAAAUAUUAUUGAAAAUGAAAAAAAGAUAGGAAAGAGAAACCAUGAAGGGCAAAAUUUAAACCCUUGUCUAAUACUAGAAUAAACGCCACUUAACUGCUUACUCUUUAAGAUUGUAUAAACUAGAAAAGCAAAUCAGAGCAGUGGUGUAAAUGUUAAAUAAUUGAGGACAUUUUGGUCAUUUCAGUAAAGGAAUUGUCAAUCAAUGCAAAAGGUUGAUUGGCGAAGAAACAAAAUCAUGUUAUUCCCUCAAAUUUUUAACUCUAUAUCUUUUUCCUGUCUCAAUCUAUCACUUCCACCUUACUGUCAACCUCUUUCUAUUUCCACAAAAGCCCUAACCUGGUCCCUUCAGACUUACCAUUUACCAUUUAUUCACUACUCUUUCUUUCUUCUCUCUCAGUACUGUCUCUCUCUCUCUCUCUCUCUGAGCACAUCCACAGACACAGAUGAAGAGAACUACAGUUGCUCCCCCUUUUCUAGGAAAAAUAUCAGCCAAUCUCUUCCAACGUUUUCAGAAAACAAAGCCAUAAAAGCCAACCAAGCAUCAUAAAAACCUUUCAAGUUUUCUAGGAUUGAUCAAACAAAGCUUCAAAAGAAGCAAAUCUAAAAAGAAAGAUUUGCCCCUCCCUACUAAGUAAGUGUCUUUCUUCCCUUCUCUCUCUCUCUCCAUCGCUCAAAUUUCAUCAUCCCACUAUCAUCAAAUCACCUUCUUCGACUUCAGUACUCCCUUCUGUCCAAGCCCUUCAUGGCCAACAUGGAAAUCAAGUAGAAUUCAUUCAUGAUCAGAAAACCCUUUACUCAUCUCAGCUCAGAUUAACUUUUUUUUUUUCACUCAAAUCUGAACUAUACCUUUCCUUGAUACCCUAAAACAUGGAUUCAACUCAAGAAGUGGAUUCAAUACAUGGAGCUGCAGACAGCACAAGCCUGACUAGUAUGACAAUAAGCAGCCCCUCCACCAAUAACACCAGCACUAUGAUGAUGAUAGCUUCACCAACACCAGCAUCAUCUUCAGCUGCAUCUCCAACAACUCUAAGCCGAUACGAGAACCAAAAGCGUCGAGAUUGGAACACUUUUGGCCAGUAUCUCAAGAAUCACAGGCCUCCCCUCUCCCUCUCUCGCUGCAGUGGCGCUCACGUUCUUGAGUUCCUCAGAUACUUGGACCAAUUUGGGAAAACCAAAGUUCACACUCAACUUUGCCCGUUUUUCGGGCAUCCAAACCCCCCAUCUCCAUGCCCUUGUCCUCUAAGGCAAGCUUGGGGAAGCCUUGAUGCUCUCAUUGGACGUCUGCGAGCUGCUUAUGAGGAGAAUGGAGGCAAGCCUGAGACGAACCCUUUUGGGGCUCGAGCUGUUAGGCUAUAUUUACGUGAAGUUCGUGAUUCGCAGGCGAAAGCGAGGGGGAUCAGCUACGAGAAGAAGAAGAGAAAGCGCCCGCAGCAGCAACAGCAGCAAGCAUUGCCACCACCAAGCUCAAGCUGAUAGAGAAUGGCUUGCCAGCUAGCUAGCUGGCUUGCAGUCUUUGCAAGAUGUUCAAAACAUGCACGAGAUUUUGAUGAUCAAAAAUCUCACCUUCAAGUAAUUCUUAGUACUAUUAUUAUUGUCAAGUUCCUAAGUACUUCUACUACUUCAAUGCUCCCUCUUUCCGUAUCUGAGUCCCCCAGCCCCACCAACUGGUUUCAAUCUGCAGAAACAAUGCUUUAGUAUUGCAAAAGUUGGAGUCUGUGCUGCUGGAUACUGCUUAUUUAUGAUUCAGACUACUGCAAAGUGAUACUUUUAGUGGUAACUGAAAUGGUCUAUUAUGGUUAAGAUCGUUAUCAUGCAUCGAUCAAUGGAGUGGAUCAGUUAAAGCAGAUGUGAGUAGAACUGAUAGAAUAUAUGCUCGCUACUUGCAGUUACUUGUGUUGUUAGAUCUACUACAAGAGUUUGAUUGUGCAAAAAAUAUGGUGGUUGGUAUUUGUCUGAAGAACCAUUUAUUGCAAGUGCUGUAUUUGCAUAUCAGGUUCAAUGUCUUUUUUCCAGAUAUGUUAUGCUUUUGUUUCUUUGGCGUAUGGGAAUUGGCAAAUCAACCAGAUACUAUAGGGAAAGGAUGUAUGACUUUGCAAAGAUCACAUGUCAGCUUUGUCUAGCACUAGUCUGUCUUUGGUAGCACAAAUAGGAGUGGGCUUUUUUUAUCUCAUUUUUCCUCUUUUGCAUACUUGUGCUUUGCUUUGCUGUGUAGACUCUCUGGAAAUUAAACAGAAAACUCAGAUGUGGUCUGAUUUUCAAUAUUUUUGAACAAUGCAAAUACUCAACUACUGAAAAUUUUUCGGCCCAUAUUAUAACAAUUUGCCUGAGGUUGACAAAAUAUAUUAUAUUGUUGCUUGUUGUAUGGCACUAGAAAUUGCAAAUUGAACAUUUGGUUUUAUUGGGGAUAAUGAGAUGCUAAGAGCAUUUUCCUCUUUGACCAUUUUGAUCUAUGCACACAAUUUUUACUUCGACAUCCUCAAGGACUAAGGAAACUUGGUGUGUGGCCUAAUUAAAUAGGUGGAAAUCCAUCACACAUCUCACUGUUUGUGUCAUGUCAGUCUGAAAUGUUCCCCAAAUGGGAGAUAACAUUAAAUUAGUCAAGUACAUCACAUGAACUCUUGUAACAGUGAAUUUUAGUUGGGUUUUUUUUAUAGAUAGUGGGUUCUUGUAUUCAACUUCAGCCAAUUUUAGAAAUAAGACAAAAUGUAAAUCUAGGCCACAGUGAUCAUGCUGUGCUGACAUGCAAGAAAUCAAAUGUUGCCAAUAGCUCAAAACUAGUGAAAUUCUCCUUUGGAAGGCAUUAUACUAGGCAUGGUCACAGAGUUUCCUUGAUUGGUUUGAUGCAUUGCUACCUGCAUAAUUCCUUUUGGAUCGCCUUUUGUUUCUUUUUCCCUGUUUCAUUCUGGUGAAUUCCUCCACACACAAUAUGAAAUAUGCAUCUCAAAUUUGUUUUCCAUUAGUUGUUAUUAAUCAUUGUUUGUGGUUGUGGCUUGGAUUGAAAUAUAAGUCAUAGAUCCUAUUGCUCUACAAUAUUUUAUAGGUGCUACUAGAUGCCAAAGGAAAAAUCGAUUGCCACUAACAAAAAUUUUUAGAUUGAUAUUGUAGGGUAACAUGAAAAUCUUUUUUUAUAAAUGAAGGGACCCAUAAACUGGAAGCAAGAAGAUAGAAGGUCUGACUAAAUGACAUUUUUCUGUUGAUACCAUGAAUUUUUAAACCAAUUGUUAGCAGUGGGCUUACUGUACCUGUCAAUAAGAUUUCCCUUUCGACUAAAAAUAUAAUAUUUCAUUCGAGUUGGUUAUCAUGGUGCAUCAUGCAAUUUACAUUUGUCGGUUAUUGUUGCAUCUGAAGCUUGAAUCUCUUGAUCCCUAGCUACUAGGCAUCCCUACAACUUUUAAAUGUCGCUAGAAAAAGUUUAAUAUGCUUAAGCUCACCCAAAGGCACCAAGGUUCUAGGCUUUUAGUUGUAUAUAGCAAGGAACAUGGCAUUUCUUGGUUCUAGGCUUUUAGUUUUGAUGAGCUAGCAUGAAUGCAUUGGGGAAAUCGUAUGUUUUAGUUCUGAAGUUUAUAGCAAGAAUGUGCAAGAGGUCUUGCACCCUAAUAUAACCAUAUGCCUGCUCUAAAUAUGAGGAGGAGGUCAACGUUCCAAAGAUGAAUAAUACAUCUUUAGACCUUAAUUAGAUCUUUAUUAACUCAAUGCACAGUCACGUUACAAUUCAGAUAUGAUCUGCAUGAAAAAUAAUAAAAUACCAUAUGGAGAAUGCAUCUUCCCUUUCCUCCUCCUAAUCAAAUUUCGGUGCAGAUUUAGAUAACAUAUAGUUGAGCGCUCUAAACAUAUGUUCUUGGAUCGCUUUUAGAUAACUUUUUGUUUUCCAAUUGUGGUUUUCAUACGUGGGAGUGGAAUAUUUAUUUUUUAGGUGAACCCAAAUUUUGUUUCUUCUCUGGCGGCUGUUGAGACACGCAUGCAAGUUGAUUAGAAUCGCAGAUUACGGCCUUUUAUAUUGGUUCAUAGGCGUCUAAUUACUGCUAUGUAUUCAUUUUUAGAUGUUAUGCAUGUGCUUGCUGUAGGAUUUUUUUGUAGAUAGAAGACUCUAAAGAAGCGAUGCUCGAGGUGCUAUUGUAUAAUCUAAUGAAUAGUUUACUGGUUCGGACAAUGAUUGUUUGAGAAGAUCUACCACAUCAUUAGGAGUUAAUCAAGAUUAUCCUUCUGGAAUAUGGCAUUGAUUAUUGGAUAACUAUAAAUGUAAGCCUCCAAUUAGCUCGGUGAAGUCUGGCUAAUCAUUUGUUUGUGGCUGAAUAAAGAAGGGGGGGGAAAAAUCAAGGUGGACAGUAGAUUGAACGCAAUAUUAGGCUGGGACUAAGCCAUUCCUAUCCCAUUCUUUCUUGCAUUUGGAUAUUUGUGCUUGUCCAUUUGUCCAUUUAUUCCUUCUUUGGCUAUGUCUGCUAUGUUGCUAGGUACCAUACUGGUAGCUGAAUUUCUUUAUACAUCCCUGCAUGUGCCAAAAAAUAUAUGCCCUAAUUCCCAUUUCAUUGACCAUUUCUGCUCCCUAUCUAGGUUCAUUUUGUCUUAAGUACUAAAUAUUACACGACCUAAGACCUACUUGGGGACAUUGGAUACAUUUAUUGUAGUAUGUUAUUUAGACGUGAAUAUGGAUGGUGGAUGGUGUUCUCCACUCUCUCAUCACUAGGGCUUUAAUUGCAUUGAGCAGAAAUUUUUUUUACUUAACAUGGACUCUUUAGGGUUUUCCCUUUGCCAACCCAAGACAAGGUUGCCAUUUCAGAAAUUUUUUGCCAUGGAGGUAGGAAGAGAAAUUAAAAAAAAAAAAAAAAAAAAACCCUUUUUUUGUCUUGGUCGACUAGUAAGUAGCAAUAAUAAAUAGCUUUGCACAUUUAAGCCCCUGUGCUUGAGCUCUGCAUUGCAUUAUAUGGUAGCUAAUUAGUGAUUUGGUUGAAAUUGGCAGCCAUUAUACUAAAUAGCUUUGUACAAGAGACGGUAAUUUUUUUUUUCUGCAAAAACUUCCAGCAACUCUACAAAAAUGCGAUCUAAACGAGUUGUCAAUCAAUGGGCAAUUUACCCAUCUCCUUUUUGUCCUAACCAAAAAAAAAAAAAAAAAAGAGCAAGGGAGAAUAGCAGUAAAAUUCUGGUACAAAAGUCUUACCGUAAUAUUUGACUAAUGGAGUCCUCGAGUUUUGUCCUCUAUGUUCCACCAGACAUGGUAUACAAACGCGAAAAAAUGGCAGUUGGAUUUCAUAUCCCUCUUAUUGUCCUUGCUACCUGGCUUCUCGACUAGACCUCAUCAGUUGAUUUGACAGGGCCUAUGUAUAAAUAAAUAAAUUUGCAACUCAGUGGUUGAGUGGCUUUUGUUCAAUUAAAUUUUUUUGGGAGAUAGAAAUUUAUGUCUGUCAUUAUUGAAUUCCAUGUCGGAGGGUAGUGUGCAGAAAUACAUUGGCCCUCUGCAUGUCUGCCUUUUCUAAAAAGAGAAUCUGCAAAUUUUUGUUAUGUUCUGGUGUAUGGGUUGUCCUUUUAAGAUUUAAUUGAUUCGGCUUUGUUUGGAUAUCAAUUUUUUAAAAUAACAUUUUACUUGUAUCAUAAACACAUUUUUUAAUUCAACUUUUUAUAUUUUCAAUCACCUUUUUAUCUUACAUACAUCACAUCAUAAAAAAAAUUAUAAUAAUUAUUUUAAAUAAUACUCUAUUCAAACAAAUUCCAAAACAAGGAAGAAAAUAUUAGUGUAGAAAAAAAUUCUACUUAUAGGGAAGGAGUGAGAUUUAAGAAGCUGGAAGGAGAAGGAGGAUUUGAAAACAAAAUACUAGAGUAGUGAUAUAUAAGAGGAAAAUAGAAAGUGCGUUUGAAUAGGAGAUUCUUUAAAAUAAUUUUUGUGAUGUAAUGUAUGUAAAAUAAGAAAGUUGUUGAAAAUAUAAAAACUUGAUUGGGAAUUAUUAUUGUAAUGCAAGUAAAAUUUUGGGAAAAAAAGUUACCACCCAAACGCAUAAUCAUUGCAGUCAAAAUAAGAUAUUUUACCUAGAAAAUUAAAUACUCUAUAUUUCCUCCUUAAUGUUCUCGCCACAUUAGUAAUAUCUGUAAAAAUACGAGCCAUUUUUUUAUAUCUCACUCAGGCCAUAAUGUGGUGAUUCCUUUUCUAAACCCAAUUUUCUGAUUUUGAGGGUAACUAUGAGCCAAAUUUAGGUAGAGAUCAAGUUCUUCAAGUUAAUUUUUUAACGACUUUGUGUUGGAGUACUUCAUUUCAUUGGUAACAUGCUUUGAGAAAUUGGAUAGUCUACGGUCAACAAUUAUAGAGUAAUGGAAAGGUACAGUGACCUAUAUAAGCACGGUUAAGGAGACUAAUAAGUAACUAAAAGCAUUCUUUCCGCAGGCGGAACUCGAUUUCUUGAUAUUUAUUUAAAAAAAUCAGCACAUUGGAAUUGUCUUUUAGUACUUUAACAUAUUGUAUUCAUAUCAUUUUAUUAAGUUUCUAAAACAAAAAGAGAAAUGCAUAUGCUUUUAAUACUACUGUUCUCACAUAAAACAAUGGCUUUGUUUGGACAUUAAAUUUUUUUUAAAUAAUAUUUCACUUGUAUCAUAAACACAUUUUUUAAUUCAUCUUUUUAUAUUUCUAAUCACUGUUUUAUCUCACAUACAUCACAUUACAAAAAGUUAUUUCAAAUAAUACUCUAUUCAAAUAAUAUGGCUUUGUUUGGAUGUAAUUUAUGCAAUAUUAUAACAAAUCAUAUUGUAAAUAAUGGUAUUUAAUGUCCUCCAAAGAGCUUCUUCAAUUAGAUGAAGGUGGUGUUAGUGUUACUUUCAAAGCUAGAAAUGAUGUUGGCUUCAAAGGUUUUUUUUUUUUGUUGUGCUAGUUUUCUUGGGCAAAAAGAGUAGUAUUUUAUUGAUUUUUCAUGAACUAGUGAAAUAAGAAUUCUUUAAUGUUGUUUACAUUUCUAUUAUUAUAAAGGAAAAUGAUUAAAUUACAGCCCAUAGCUUCCUUUAAGUUACUGACAACUCUUGACCAUUGAUUGCAUUUAGUCGGAUUGGGGCAUAAAAGGCUACUAGUUUGUCCAGUUAAAAUGUGGAACAAAGAGUCUUACAUUUGUGCCCUUCCUCAACUUCGAAAUUCUCAACAUGCCUCUUUUCCAAACCUCUCAAUUAAGCCGGCCAAAUUUCAUGAACUUUUUUUGUUUUCCUUUUCAAAUUCCAUGACUUUUGCACAUAGAAACCAAAUUAACAGUUGCAUGAUUCAAGAGAACUCCUCAAUUAAUCAAAUGUUUCCAUCUCAAAUGCACAAUAACUCCAUUUUGCAUAUGAAACCAAUGAUUUGACAUGAAAGACAUAAUUAAUGUCAAGUUUAGAAUGAGAAGAAGAAAAUAGAGGCAACCAAAGUGACAAUAGAACAUGGGGGAUUUGAACUUGGAGGAGAGUAGGAAAAGAUUGGUACGAGACUGAAAAGUGGCAGACGCAAGAAAAAUGGAGACAAUAAUGGUAUGACUUGGGGUUGCAAGAAGGAGAGGACUUGAAGCUUGGAGGCUGAGGGGGGAAUGGGGUGGGAUUGGUCUAUUUUUUGAUUGAUAAAACUAUUAGGUCCUAUUCAAAAUAUUAAAAACCGAUAAAACAGGCAUCAACAAGAAUCUCUAACAGUGAAGUCACAUACGUUUGUAACGUUAGAAUAGUCGUAUUUAAAAAAAAAAAACCCUAAAACUCGUCUCAUAGGCAAAAGUGCUGGAUUAUGUGAAAAAGAAUUGUCCACCACAAGCGUUACGCGUCAAAUAUGCUACUAGAAAAUUAAGGGAAAAAAAAAAACAACCAAAGUCGCACAUCUUGCAGAAAUUUGUAAGGCCAUGUGAAUAGUUGCAUUACCCAAUAAUGCUUAUUUAUUCACGAUUAGGGGCAAAACUUGUGAAGUUAAAAGAAUUGAGAUAUCUCAUGAGAAGGUACUGAUUGUUGCUUUCUACCAACUCCUAUCCUAAAAGAAAAUUUUGGACAUAUACAAGCAGAACACAAGGUAUAUAGGGUGCUUGUCAACUUUAAUAAUUAGGACCAGGAGGUACUUCAAUUUAUAAUUUCAAUUCUCGAAAGAUGUCAUGAUAUUUUACCCAUCUUUUUGUGUAAGAAGCCGAGGAAAGACAUCAAGGGUAAAUAACAAAAGUUUUGCCUCCCUCCACCUAAUAGGAUAUUUAAAGAUCAAAUGAUAGAACACCCCAGAUUCCUGGACUUAAAAAGUCAUUCUUUUGGAUAUCAUCAUGAAGCAUUAUGGCUUGUCUACUAGAAAAAUGUUCCUAGGGGCUAAAACACUUCCUACAGAAGAUUUAUACGUAAAGUUUCAUGCUAAUAACACCAGCUCUUUCCUUUGAGAAGACUGGCUUGUUUCUCUACUUAAUAAAGAAGAUGAUGAUGAAAAAUGACUUGUUGCUUCUCGACGAAAUAGUUCCCUUUGGUAUAUUUUUGGUUUUUUUUUUAGCCCAUCUUGCAUGCAAUGGCGACAAGAUAAUGAUGGUUGAUUUCAAACAUAAACUCAUAUCCAAACACACUCAUGACAAGUUUUAUAUCAUCAAACAUAAAUCAUAAUGACCACUCAUGACAGGAUAAUGAUGGUUGAUUUCAAGGCACUUUGGUGUGAUGGUUGAUUUCAAGGAAUCUUUGGUACAAUGGGCAUAUGAAUUUGAACAAUUCAUGUGUUGUACUUAGUAUAUUUUUCCUGCCACAUUUUGUUAAGCAUCACCUUGUAACACAAUUUAUCGUGCAAAUCUAGGUGCACUUUCUCUAACACUAAGCUACAAGUUGCAUUUUUCUGAUGACCAAAAAAAAAAAAAAUUCAUACUUUACUCCCAAUUCUGCUAUUUCCAAAGGCGUUCAUUUGGAACCUCAUGGAUAAUAGUACGUCAUAGCAGCAUCCUUCAAUAAUAGUGACUCCAUUUUUCACAGGCUCGUAUUCAUCUGGUUAUUGACGAUGGCCUCAAUCAACAUUUAACUAAAAAAUUGUUUCAACCUAUAUAAGCAUAAUUGACUUCUUAGGAAGAGAUUAACUUAAAGCAGAUCACUAGCUGAUUACUACAGGUAAAAUCGCCCAUGUUAAAAAAGAAAAAGAAAAAAAUCAUCCACGUACAGACAUUGCGUUGAAUGCGUAAAGUACAAAAGUGAAGCACAUACAGCAGUAGUAGUAGUACUUCAAAUGGAAAGCAAAAUAGGUGAACGUGUAAACUAAGGCAACUAGUCAGUUCAAUUGCUUUAUGAAUUAUUUUUAGAAAGACGAGAUUAGCUUUGAGUAUGAAAAGGUAUUUGGUUCAUGUCCCACAGAAUACCAAUAUAUCAGUUGUAAUUUGCUUUUCUUAAGAUUCUUCUAAUUAUGUUAUAAAAAUAUCGAAGAUUCGCUUUUUUCCAUAAAUUGUACUGAUACAAAACUGCUAUGUCAAAAACACCAUUUUGACAUAGUAGUGUGAGUUUUCUCCUAAAUUCAAAACUAUGAAUUUUGUUUGUUUUGUAAUAAAGUUUCUCCUAAGUUUUCUUAAUGAUAGUUUUCUAUUCCUCAUAAAAAUUCCUAGUGUGAAUUUUCUAUUCUUUUAGAGAUUCCUAU
rnacentral:lncRNA from 1 species